rnacentral:lncRNA from 1 species
AAACUCGACGCUUAUUCUCUAGUGUCAGCAAGUGUAGAUCGAUAUGAAUGGUGAGUGAAAACAGCUUUAAGCCAAACAUAAUCCUCCAGAAAUAUCAAAUAACAUCAGAUAUAUCAGAAUUCAUGGACUACUGAGUCAUUAAACAGGUAACAUGAACCUUGGCUAUUCUUGAGUAAUUACUUCUCAGUCAAUUCCGCAUAAAAAAUUCCUGCCUUUGAAUAGGUGUCAGGUCAUAUAGCAGAGAAUCGUUCUGAAAUAUUCUUUGCUCAAUCACAGCAUAGUUAAGUGGGAAAUUAAUUACUUGAAAAGUUUUCUUAGGACAAUCGUAUUUAGUUAUACAAGUAUGGAGAGGAUAAAAAUAUAUAGCACAUCAAAUGAAAGAUGCAGCAGAAAUGAACUCCAAAAGUGUACCGAUCAAUGUGCCAGAUAAUGUUACUGAUAAAAUCUUUUUGUAAGUACCGAAGCUACAUGUAUUUCGUGAUAAUGAUGUCGUGGAUGCAUAACAAGCACCCAGGCUAUUUUUGAUUGCCAAGAAAAUGAAAUAAAAAGAAAAGUACAUUAUUGCAAGAAAAGAAAAGAAAAUCAAUUGGAUAACUUUGCACGUUUGAGAUACGAGAAUUAGGAAGAAACUUAUGAAGAAAGUGGCUAAGAUAUGGUUAAAAUUUUUCUUGAUCGCCUUCUCUUUUCAUUAUUUCUUUCCAAAACACUGCAUUUAGGAGAACAAAGAUUUUAAGACUCUUAGGGAGAAAAAAUGCCCUUUAUUUUAACUAUGUUUUUCUCUUCCUAAAAUGCCCUUUUUUAACUACGUUUUUCUCUUCCUGACUUUUCUUUUGUUGUCAAACAACGGAAAAGAAGAUUCCCUCAUUUUCUCAGCAACCAACCCAGAACCUAAGAGAUAAUGAUUUGGUAAAUUUAGGACUAAAAUAAGUAAAUAACUAACAAACUAGAAAAAGAUUAGAUGUUGCAUCAAUAGAACAAAGUGAUCAUUACCUAUUGGCAUGUUUAGUCUUGAAGGUUGUGCAUGGGGAGGGAAAAGUUGUUGGUCAAUAUGGCCAAAAAUAUAAACAAAAGGAGCUAGGGCAUUCCUAAAGUCGAGAUACAGCAAUAGGCUUGUUGGCCAUGAAUACUCCAUAGAAACUUCAUACAUGCCGAACUAAAUUGUGAAAGAAAUUCGCUUGCAUUUUCUCCAUUAGGUCCUUCCCAAAAAUUGUACUGCCGAUCUGUGUUGUGCAGCUAUCUUGUCCUUCAGCCCCAAUAUCCUUAAGCACACCUCAAACUUCUUUGUGAACCAUAAAAACCACUGCUUUGAGUUGACCUUCUUUUAGAAACAACAAGAUGAUGGAAAACUAAAAUAUAUUGCAAACAACCUUUUACUUUAGUGAAAUUAAGUUAAGCAAAGUAAUUUAGAAUCAUAUGUGUUAGGGACCAGAUUUUAUGUCAACCCAAAAUUAAUCUUGAUCUAAAAGAGAUCUUCAAAAUACAAGAAAAUAUUUUAAAUUAAAAGAAGAAUACAGAACAGCAAAACUCAGUUUAAUGUUUCAAAGCAAAUAAUUGAAGUAUGGCUGACAAUUUUUGGAGCAAACCACGAGAGAGUAAUAAUCCUUUUAUUGAAUCAGUUUCUAGAAUUCGAGCAUAUGGAAAGGCAAGCCCUAUAUUAUAUUUCACAUUCUACUAGUCAGAAUAUCAACUUCUAAUCGGUUAGUAAUUUUUUGUGAGAUAAUAAAACAAACAAGAGAGAACAAGACAAUCCACAUGGCUAGUAUUCUUAAUCUUCAAAUUCUUUUCCAGGAUGACCACAUUCCUAACAGAAAUAAAAUCCAUGAGCCUAACUAUGCUAAUAAAAUUGCUAAAUUAACUCAGUAAGGAACUUCUCCAGCCAAUAGCUCUCAGCUGAACCUCACCCGUGCAUUUCAUUUACCCAUAUUGACAAUUCUGUACUUACAAGAAACCCUUGAUAUCUUUAAGAAAAGAAGUUCGAAGAAAAGAUCAAAUCAAAGCCCAAUUUCAAGAUGGCCUAACCAGGAAACUGCAUGCUUGCUGGCAUGAUCGGAUGAAGGCACAAUGAGCUUUAGAGAUCUUCAGGAUUCAAAUCUGUUCAAAGCUUCCGACCAUUUAUAUAUUCCCUCUUUUCAAGAUUUUCAAACCUUGUUCAAUUUUUCUUAGUGGAUCAUGGAUGUGAAUUGAGUCUUCCUUCUAAUAUCGCCAAAAGGCUAAUAAUGUUGGACCCACCAGAUAUUCAGAAAAGCAGGAAAAUAACUUGAAUUUUCUUGUCCCAGAUGCAGAGCUGAAUUUUCUUCAAAAAAUACCAACAAAUGGCUCCAACUGGCUUAUAACUGGCCCCUUGAAGCCACUAAGUCAUAAGGAAAAACCUGCUUUCCAGCAACUACAAUCUUAAGUACCCAACUAUAGAGCAAAUCACAGUAGCAUGUAAGCCAUCAAAAAAAAAAACAAGAUCAAUAAAUUUCACAUGAUUCUAAUCAUGACAACGACCUUCCAGCAAAAAAGCUGUAGCAUUCUCAUCAACUCGACAGGAAAAUUCCAAUAUGCAAUCUCACCAACCAAACACAAUCUUUCACAGCACACACACACCCCCCCCCCCCCCCCGGUUUCUGACCUCAACCAUGUGGGCACCAUACUUACUGAUUAUACAUUUGGGGAAUAAACAUCAAAACAACCAUUAAAAAAGAUUGAAAACAUAUUAUCAUCAGAGCCACAUGCAAAUAAACUUGUUGACUUUCUGAGACUUAUGAACAAAAUCCAAGCAAAAAAAAAAUCAGACAAACCAUAGCACAAAAUAAUGCUGAUUUCUAAAGAAGUUUAGCAAUCCAAUCAAAUCUAAGUUCUUCUCUUUCUCUCUCUCUCUCUCUCUAUCUCUCUCUCUUUGGGGGGCGGACGGGGCGGGGGGUUGGGAGAGAGCGGAGAAUAACUCCGAUACAUGCUCAUAGAUCAAAGGAAAAAUCAGAUCAAAAUGAAACAUAUUGAAAUGUAAACUUAAUUAGUUCUACAAAAAUAAAAAGAAUGCGAACAAAAUUCUUUUAGGCAACCAUUGUUUCUCACACUUUGGCUGAUUAAAACAAUCAUACUGAAUUAAUAGGAUCAAACUUCACUAGAUGACAUUAAAUUUAUAUGACAUGGCCACGACAAAGGGCUGGUCAAACCCUAUAAACCAUGUUCGCUAUUGUCUAACAAAGGUAUGCCAAUGGCUUCGAUCAGGCUGAUCAUAUUUAGCUGGAAAACCAGUUUCCUCACAGACAUAAUUUGAAGCACGAAACUAGGGUUGAAAACAGAUUGGAUAUUAGUUUUUAUCCAUAUCUGCAUUUGUUUUUGUUUGGCGAAUGUGGAUGUUAGUUGGAUACAAAAAUUCAUGAGUACAGAUAUUGAAAGUACGAUAUUGAAAGUAGAUUGGAUGUUUGGUUUUAGAUGGAAAUGGAUACAAAUCGAAUAUUGAAAAUACGAUUUCAAAUACAGAUUUUUAUCAGAUAGUCAAACUUUAUGACCAAAAAAUCAAAGAUAUUACUAAGUGGAAGAUAACUCAAGUUACUAACAUAUUAAUAUGUCACUUAGUUUCCUUAAAAGUUCAUGGGUGCUAUAUAAGAUUAAAUAGGAUUACAGAUAGAAUUGGAUAUUCGGAUGUGGAUCAAAUAAUUGUCGAUCCGUAUCCUUAUCGAUUUUCCGUUGAUAUGGAUAUAGAUAUGGAUACAACUAUUAGUUGAAUGCCCAAAUUUAUAUCCAUAUCCCAAUAUAUUUGGACACCAAGAUGGAUCAGAUACUGUCUAGUCCACUUUCACCCCUGCAUGUAACUUUGCAGAAAAAUACAAAAAACAUGCAAUCCUUUUAAAGAGAACAACAUGUACACUAAUAAAUCUCAUACAUUUUGAAUUUUUUCCCUCGAGUUCACAAUCAAUAACCAUGUCCACAAAAUCUUGUGAGACUAUAUCACAUUUAAGCAGAUUGAGAUCAUAUAAGGACAUCGCCACAGAGGGACUGACCUACCACAAAGAGACUGACCUACCGGUUCCCUUUCCCUUAGGGUUCUAUAAACCAAUCCCACGCAAACCAACAAAAUCAAAAGGAAAACAGCACAAAAUAGACAGAAAUUCCAAACAAAAAUCAAAAACCCUGUAGUAUAAGAGUCACAUCUACGAUUUCCAUUGCAAAGAAAAGAAAGUAAAAGCAAUCAAGAAUUAUGAUACAUACUCAUGGAUCUAAACCAAAAUCAGGAGCAAUCUAAAGAGAAAUCCAGAUCAAAGAAACAACAGAUUGAGAUCAGAACAAAGAGAAACAGAUUAAAACAAAACAAACAAAAUUCAUCCAUCAGCUGAUAGCCAAAAAAAAUCAAACGAAUACUACCACCAAUUAGAGGAAUUUGAAAAAGAAAAAAAAAACGGAGAAAAGAGAGCGAAAGGGAUGACCUAAGAGGGCUGCAGCGAUCCCCCGUCCCGGCUCAAUAUUCCGCCGGAACCCACGAAGCGAGAUAUUUAUAGCGGGCAGAGGUGCGACGCGUCCUUGCAGGCGUUACCGUGGCCCUCACAGCCGUUUGAUUUUCGAUCCUACGGUUGAAGUUUUUAUCCUUAUUAAAAUCUAAGAAUGUUAAAAUAAUAUUACUUUUUAUCAAACAAUUAGUGCCGUAGUCCCGUACUAGGUUUGGAUUUCGGGAUUUGGCGUAGCCGCGUAUGCCAUUAAUAUUAUUUUAGAAACCAAUGCUUCGGUGCCCAGCUAUUUUACCAAACGAGUUCACUGCCACGUGUCACCAUGCACGAAACGGACCCCGACGACCGAACCAGCUGUGGCAUGAAUUUCUUCUUCUUCUUUUUUUUUUUUUUUUUAAUUGGAUUGGGUUGGUGAAAAGGUUGGGCCUCAUAGGAAUAUUCAUAUUUUAGUAUAUCGCUGGUUGUCAUCUCGUUAACGGACUCUUUGGUUCGGCUCGGGUCGGCUCGGCUCGGAUCGGUUAGAGCUGAGUAGAGAAAAGUAUGCUCAUGCUCGGCUAAGAAAGAUCGGCUUGGGCUCGAGCUAAGCGGUGAUGGGAUAGCGAGUAUGAGGCGAAUCGGAAUAGCGAAUUAGGGUGGAGUCGGAUAUCUCGGCCGACCAAGAUAUCCUACGUAUCCGCGACGUAUUGAUGAGGACGGGUGUGGUUUAAAUUAUAAUUUUUUUAAAAAAUAUAAUUUUUAUUUUCACUAGAAAAUUAGUGAAUUUGAAACACUUUAAAUUAUUUUUUAAUAAUUAGUCUCUUUUUUUUCCAUAUAUUUCUUUGCAACCAAAUUAUCCUAGUUGUUUUUAAUUUUCCUCUUUUAACCUCCUUCAAUCGAACAAUAAUGAAUUAGGCAUGCAGAAGAAAAACCAAGAUGGUGAGAAGUCAUGGGAAAACAUAGUCUUAAUUUUAUUAUUUUUUCUAUUAUUUCAAAAUUAAUCAGAAAUUAACCUACAAAUAAUUUUAAUCUAAAAUCUCUGAUCUUGUAAAGGUUGGCAAUACUUACCUUGUUUAAAUUGAUUCAACUUUAAAUAAAAUAAUCAAGUUUGGAUUUGAAUUUUUGAUUUGUUUAAUAAAUAUGUCGAAUUCGGAUUAUCAAAUUUUUGAUUUAUUCUAUAUCCAAUGCAAUCCGUAUCCGAUUUGACCGGACCAGAUUGCCACUUUAGAUCUUGUCAUGCUUUGCAUGAUCAUAGAAUGUUCCAUGGGUUGUGGCGCUUUGAUACGACAUACAAGCAUACACACAAAAUGCAUAUAAACAUGGAUCCUAUAGUCAACUAAAAUCAUAAAUAAUAUGAAGAUGAGUGCACAUAUCUUAUGUCAAUGAUAGCCAUAAUGCUCCUCCACAGGUAAGCAAAUUGAAGAAUAACCUACUCGAGAUCACCGAGUAUAUUGGUCACUCUCCUCACUCUCCUUCAUGCAUAGUUUUGAUUGGAAACUCUAUCCAUAUAUUUUGAUGCGAGUGGAGAGAAGGAUCAGAACCAUUUGUAUAUACUCACCGAAUUCCUAACCCAUUAAGGUCUCUAGCCAAAACAUGAAUCAUUUCUUCAUCUCCAAACUCAUUAAAAGAAGUACGAAGAGAUAACUUGUACAUAAGUGGUUCUUUCGACCAUAUUACGAUGAUAAAUUUUAGCACAUAAAUCCUCAAAUUUCUUUCCCACCAAAUGCACUAACAAACUACAAAACAUGUAAGAUUAGAGGGAGAAUUAGAACCCUCUAUGAUGGUCGAUCGUAGACCAGCUCCUUGCCCUCAAAAAUAACUAAUAAGCCACCAAGGUGGUAGCUCAGUUGGAAUAGGACGUUUGCUUCCAACCAAGUAAUUCCAGUUCGAAACAUACAGACAUCGAUUAAGUUCGGGGAACGGAUACCCCACGCUUGGACACGGGGUCUGGAAGCGCUAUUGGUCGGCUAGUACCAAGGUGGCACCGGGAUGACGUACUCACUCGUGAGGAGGUUACCAUGUAGGUGGAGCCGCCCACAAGGUGGGGAGGAUAUGAGAAACAUAAGUAUGCCUCUACCUCCGAGGGGGUAGGGGGUGCUUUCUAUCCGUAUCGGACAUGUCCCAGUGGGAGAGGGGCCCGAUGUGGGGUUGCUACAUGGGGGAGGUUGCCUUCCCCCCCCACCCUUUGUCACAGCAAAAAAUAAUAAUAAUAAUAAUAAAACGUCUUCUUUAUGAAUCAAUAUCAUUUUUUAUCGAGCCCAACGGGAAGCAUCCUCUCUUCAUCAAUCAUUCUUCCCUUCUCUUACACAAAUCAAUCCAUUGAGUAUCAAAUUGCAAUUGUGGGAGGUGGUCUUAGCUUUUCCGGUAACAAGGUCAUCGAGCUAGGUAAUACAUAAUACCAUAAUACUGUUUAAUGUAUACUAAGGUGCCAUUUGGCAUCACAUUUCAUUUUUUUACUUUAAAAAUUAAAAAUAUAUUUUAUUUUUAAAAUUUGUAGAAAUAUAAAUAUCUUUCAUAUAGUCCAAUUUUUAAAAAAUAUAAAUAUAAGUGAUGAUGAUGGAGGUGACAGUAGUAAUGACGGAGAUAGCCGAGCUGCUAGUAACAUUGAUGUAAGGUGACAAUGGCGUGGGGUAGUUGGAGAUGAUAUCGAUGGCGACAGUGAUGGUAGGAUGGCGACAGUGAUGGUAGGAAUGCAUCGUCGAUGUGGUGGAGGGUAAGGAUGAUGGCAACAAUGGUGUGCUAGUGGUGAUGGUGACAUCAAUAAUGGUGGGGGCAUAGGCGAUGUGAUGGCAGCAUGAUGUAGCAUAAACAUUAAUGGUGGUGGUUGGGGUAUCGCGAUAUGUUGAAAAUGGUAAUAGUGGUGGCAAUGGCAUAGUGAAGACAAUAAUGUUAGUGCAGGUAGCAACGACAAUGGUGAGGGCACGAAUGAUGUGAUGGUGGCAUGAUGCAGCAUAAACAACAAUGGUGGUGGCUCAAGUGUUAAGCUAUUUUGAAGAAAGCAAUGGUAGCGGCGGUGGUAUGAUUAAGGCGGCGAUGCUGGUGGGAUUAGCAGUAAUAUUAGUAGAGAUAGUAAUGAUGGUGGUGAAAGCGACUAUGAUGAGAAAGGAGGCCACAAUGGUGAUGGUAGAGGUGGUGUUAGCAGUACUGCAAAAAAAUAUUUUUUUAUUUUGAAAAUAUUGAAAAUAAGAAUUUUUAAUUUAUUUCUCUAAAAUAAUGAUAGCAACUUUUAAAAACACAAAAAAAAUAAUAGCACCAAACAUGUUUUUAUCUUAGUUUAUAUAAUUUUAUUUUCUUAAAAAAUAAAAACAAUGCUAAAGAGGCCCUAUAUUUUUCAGUUUUAUUUACCAAAUACUCCUUAUCAUGAUUGGUCAAUGUUGGCCCUUAGACAUCUUUCGACAUUUUACAGGUCUUAUUUGUUAUCUUCAAUUGACAUAUUUCAAAAAACUUGCAUUGCUAAAUCUUGAUCUUUAUAAAUAUUUAAAACCAAAUUUAUUUUGUGAUAGCAAGAAAUAUAUCUCCAUUCUCAUAAUUUUUUUAAAAAAUUUAAAUGUAUUAUUACAUCAAUUUUUAAAUCAUAGUGCAUUGAUAUAUGUGUAUGCAUAAAUCUAGGAUGGCAUAUUAGUAAAUGGACUGGCUCUCUCAGUUGGGCUUGCGUGUCAAAUUUUGCAAUUGGCAAUGCCCAAUUAUAAAUAUAUACAUGUACAUAUAUCAUAUACAUAUAUGUACUUAUAUAUAUAUAUAUAUAUAUAUAUAUAUAUAUAUAUAAUAUAAUANNNNNNNNNNNNNNNNNNNNAUAUAUAUAUAUAUAUGUAAAUAUAAGUACAUAUAUUGUUUGUGUGGAUGUACAUAUUGUGUGCAGAUCCACACAUAUAUACCCAUAUAUACACAAACAUAGUAAUACGCACACAUAUAUACAUAUACGUCGCACAUACGCAUAUAUACAUAUAUACAUAUACAUACACAAACAUAUAUAUAUAUAUAAAUAUAUAUAUGCGUUAGCCCACAUUUUGGCACUCUAUUCACACUUCAAAGGUAUAAAACCAUCAAAUAUCAAGCAUAUCCAUGCCACAUUUGCAUUCCUAGACCUCAAAAACUCUAAUAGUAAGAUCUUGUGGUACGGUCCUUUAGAUGACAAAUCUUCAAGAUCAAAAUUUUUGAAAUAUAAAUGGGAGAAGGAAAGAUGUUGAACGUGAAGAGAGGACAAAAUCUCUAGAGAGGGAGAGAGAGAUAAAAAGGAAGUCGCAUUGUGAGAUAUAGGGAGAUAGAGAAUAUAUGUCAUGAUACAGAGAAAAAAUUGCAAGUAUAAGAGUAUAAUUCAUAUCUUUACCAAAAGCGAAAUAUAUUGGAUUUGAAUGUAGGAGAGAAAGGACUGAGAUUGGUGUUGUAUAUUCUUUUUUGAAAAGAGAGGAUAGCGUAUAUUUUUUUUGAAAGAGAAGACAAUCGAGAUUAGUUAUUUAUAUAUUUUAUAGGUUUUUUUUGGCAUGAAUAUCCUUCUAAAAAUUUAAAUUUGCAUGAAUACCCUUUUAAAAUUUAUAUUUAUUUUUGUACCUUCAUAAAUACUGUUUUUGCACAAAUGUCCCUAAUAUAACGGUUAUUCUAACACCAUGAAUAAAAACCAUAUUUAUUUUAAUUAAAAAUAAAAUAAAAUUUUGAAAUUACUUUUUUUAUCCUCUAUCACGAUCGUCUUAUAAAUGUUUCUUCUUACACAUCUACCCAUUAAGAAUAUUUUAGUCAUUUUAAUUUGAAACCAUUAAUUUUUAACCGCGUUAGAUGGCGUGGGUACAUAUGCAAAAAUAAGAAUAAAAAAUGGUUGAAUAGCAAAAUAAGUGUUUUACGAGGAUAUACAUGCAAAUAUCAAUUUUGGAAGGGUAUUCAUACAAAAUUCGAUAUUUAGAAAGGUAUUCAUCCAAAAAAAUUCUAUUUUUAUUGCUGAAAGAAUUUAUAUUGAUAGUUACUAUAUAAUAAACUCUUCUUUGUAAACUAAAUAGCAUUCUAUCCAUGGAUAAAAUAAUCGAACUCAAGAACGCCCUUAAUCUCCUUUUAGUACACACAAAGAGAGGUGAUUCUCAUAAGGCUUUUUUUUUUGGUUUUAAUGAAAGUUGUUUGUAAGAAACUUACGUGGCCAUGUAUAAGUAGUUGGAUCGGGCCAGCCCAACAAGCUAAGGUGGGCCAACGCAGGAAUUGGGUUUUUGUUUUAUGAUUUAGUUUAUGAUUUAAACUAAAUAGCAUUCUAUCCAUGGAUAAAAUAAUCGAACUCAAGAACGCCCUCAAUCUCCUUUUAGUACACACAAAGAGUGGCGAUUCUCAUAAGAUUUUUUUUUUUGGUUUUAAUGAAAGUUGUUUGUAAGAAACUUACGUGGCCAUGUACAAGUAGUUGGAUCGGGCCAGCCCAACAAGCUAAGGUGGGCCAACGCAGGAAUUGGGUUUCUUUUUUAUGAUUGGGAGGUUGGGUUUUCUUUGGAUCGGGCUGGCCGCUGGUUGCGAAGGUUUUGACGCAAUAAAGCGACCAACGAACCACACUUUCGCCUCCUUCCACUGUCUUGCGGUAGAGCGCGCGAGGGUUUCGCAGCACGGCGGAGGAGAAGGGACAUGGCGGAGGUCGAGAAAUCCAAGAAUCUGGACAAGGUCCUCAAGCCCUUCUACCAGAGGGCCUCCGAGGCCGAGGUAUGCACCCAGCUCCCCCUCUCGUUCUCUCUCCUAGAUUGGCGACCUUGGUUUGGUUUGGUUUUUGGUCAUCUAGCGUUAUUAUUUACUGAGUUCAAGAAAUCUAUUGGCGUUGAUCUCAUUCGUGGUAAAACGCCAUGAUAUGGUGUGGGAUGUGUUAAAGAUUGGACCUUGCUCGAAGUUUUGGUUUGAGUUUGGUCGAAUUUUACCAAAAGUCAUUGCCUUUGAAAUCUGUAAGGAGAGAAGCCAUUAAAUUUUGAAGAGAAGAGAAAGUUGAUUGCAGAUUAUUACAUCGUAACUUUUUUAUGAACAUAGUUUAUUUAUACCAAUUCAUGAAAAAAAAGUGUAAUAGAAGUUGUAAGUAUUGUUUUUUAGAUGUUUAAAGAUCCUGUUACGAAUAUUGUUUAUUUACACAUAGCUUUAUUAUUUGGAUCAUGAUGUUGGGCAAUGGCAAUUUGUGCGGAAUCAAGAAUAGGAAGGCAUAUAUUUUUUUUUUUUGGAAGGUUGAGGAGGGUCUAAGACCCACUCCUUGAUUUGAUUAGUGUAUGAAAUCAGGUAGGAACAGACAUAUUUAUAAGUAGCAAAAUUGACUAUGUUAGAGUGGAUCUUUGGUAGCACUAUGAAGGAGAGUACGUCGGAGGCAGGUUAGUACCAGCUCUAAUGCAAAGUUUACUAGAUAUAUCUCUAGAUAGUUUUCGAGAUGAGUAUUGGGUACAUCAGAAGAAAAAUAUUUGUACCCCGGACUGUGGAAUACAAUAGAGAACUUACUAGUAGCCCCACAUGAAUAUAAGCUGGGAGAGAGAUAAGAUGUUUAGUAUGGUAAAGGCAUGUGGAGUGUAAGCUAAAGAUGACCUACUUUAAGGAAUUACAUAGUCUAGAUGUAGUGCUGAAAACAGAUCAUAUAUUAAUAUAUCCAUAUCCAUAACUGUUUUUUUUGGCAAAUACAAAUAUGGUUACUGCUAUUGAUGGGAUGUUAAAAAUUCGUAUCCAUAUUUAUUUUAAAUAGAUAUAGAUACAAAUCAGAUAAUAACAAUAUAGAUAUAUGGGGAUGUAAAUUGGAUAGUUUAAUUUGGUGAACCAUCACUCAAAGAUAUCAUUGUAUGGAAGGUAAAAUAAGUGAAAGACAUGUUAAUAUUGCUAAUUAUUUCUCUUUAAAGUUCACGAAAUCUAUAUAAGACUAAAUAGGAUUGCAAAUAGAUUCGAAAAUUCAGAUAUGGAUUGGAUAGUUGUCUAUUCAUAUCCAUCUUCUUUUUUUUUUAAGGAUAACAGAUAUAAUGCUCGAAUUUGUAUUCAUACCUGAAUAGAUUCAAAUAUGGAAAUAGGUUCGAAUGAAUAUUAUUUGGUCCACUUCCAUCCCUAGCUGGAUGGGAUUACUGAAGAUAUUUUUGUUGAUAUAAGCCAUUGGUAAAGUAGGAUCCAUCAUUCGUAGAGUUGAGCCGACAUAGGUGAGAUACUAGGGUCGGCAGAACCGUUCUGAAUCGGACAGUUUUAGUCGUAUCGAGCCGUCCCGGUGGCAAAUCGGGACGGUUCUGAAAACGGAAACGAAACCUGUUGCUGGAGAAAGAGAACGAGAAGGAAAGAGAGGAAAAGAAAGAGCAAGCGGGGGAGAGAGGGAGAGAGAGAGGGAGAGGGAGGGGGAGAGAAGAAGGGCCGGCGGAGGGCUAGUGGAGAAUGAGAAGAAAAAAGAGAAAAGAAGGAGCGAGCAGGGGAGGAAGGGAGAGGGAGAGAGGAGGGCCUCCGUCGGCCUCCUUCUCUCUUCCUCCCUCUCUCCCCCUUCUCUCUCUCUCUUUUUCUCUCUUUCGUUCACCCUCUCUCCCACCUCCUCUACUGUGUCGGUACAGACACGGUGCGACGUAGGCCCGUACCGACCCAUGCCGCUAGGCAACCGGUCCAGUGGACUGUACUAGCACAGCAGACCAUGUGAGAUACAGUUUGUUAUCAUUAAAAAUUAGAGAGCCUAAAAAAGUAAUUAAUGAGGACGAUCCACCACUUCCCUAUCAACCCAAUCAUGUAUUAAAUAUUCUUCUAAACAUAUAACAACAUAGUCUAAUUUCAACUGCUUUAAGUAUGAUUUUAUGAUUGAGAAAACCCAAAAUAGUUAGACAUAUGUAUGGCUGUAUACUUCCACAACAAUAUCGUUUGGGAGAAAAGACUCUCCCUGUUCUUACAUUAUAACCAGUCAAGAAAAAAUUGUCUGCAUAAAUGUAUGCAAAAUAACAACAUGACAAUCUGCUGCAAGAAAUUUUCUUUAUUUUUGAUAGAACUUCUACGUGUUGCUUAUCUGCACGUUUAGUUUCUGGCAGCAUCCUUACUCUUAUAUUGUAUCUGUAGGACCGGUUAGCAAAAUUGGAGGCUUUGCUUGCUAAGAAAGGUAGGCUGCAAUGUCAUUAUACAAGUCCAAGUAUUCUUUAAAUGUAAAUUUUAUUUAUAUUCUUGUGUAUUAUCUCUCAGGUGAUUCGGACAAUGAAAACAAGGAAAUAUCAUCUGUAAUAAAAGACUUCCAAGCAAAGCUAGAAACUGCACAAGCGGAGCUCAUGUCUGAGCGAGAAAAGGUUGGACUCUGUCUAGAGUUGCAUCUUCACAUACAACACAUAAGUAAGGAGAGUCUUAUUACCUUUUGUUUGCUUGUAGGCUUCAAAGGAGAUCCAGAAACUUGCAGCAGAGAACCUGAAGCUUCAAUAUCGUAUCACUCAUCUUGUUCGGGCAUUGAAGGAGGCAGAUGCUAAGUUGGUAAAUUAAUGAAGUCUUGUUUUUCUGAGUUUUGGAACACAUUUUGUGUAUCACUAUCAGUGUCUUGAAUAAAAUAUCAUGAUCUCUCGUUAACUUUUAAAGAGGCUUCCAAAAAUGAUAGUGUUGUAACUUAAAGAUCAUGAACUGUUGUGAAGCUGCAGUAAUAUAGGACAUUGGAAAACUAGAUAUGCAUAAAUAGUUUAGAGCAACUGAAAUGUUGGUUAAGGAAUUCCUGUCAUGAAUUUGCAAUAGAUUUUUCUAAGAAACUUCUUCUAAAUGACCACUCUUAAGUUGAACUCUUGCCAGCAAUUUAGGAGCUGUUUGUCCAUCAGCUUUGACAGGUUGCAAGUUUCACUUGAAGUCAAAGUGCUUUGACAUAUUUUUCACUCACAAGUUCCACCAAGAAGGUUACAAAGGCAGUUUCCUUGUGACCUGCCAAGGGCAAAAUUGGCCUCUUGGCAUUGAAAAACACCCUGACCCUCCCAUGAAUCACACAAUGGCUGGGCGUACACCCAAAAGGGACUGUUUAUACAACCUUUUUGGGUGAACCGCGGGGCGACCAUUAGAGCACUUAUAUGCAAUUGGGGUGCUCAUCUGCAGCUUAUUCUUAUGCUUGUUGCAGGUGGAAUUAAAAGAAUGAAGUGCUCGUGACCCAAAGCUGUUUGUAUUGGACUCCACCUUUUGUGUUUUACAAAUCGGUCACCCAUACGCUGCAGCUUGUUUGAAAGAGCUCUGUGAUCUUAUGUGUUCUGCUUGAUGUAAUAUUUCACCCUGAAUUAUGAUAUUGAUUAUUAUUGAAGGAUGGAUGUUAUGAGUUGUCUACUUUCAAAUGUUGUCCCUUUAUGUUCUAAUUAACUCUGAAAAUAUGUCAAAACCCCUUAUAUUUUAAUUUUACUAUAAAGUUCAGAAAUCCAAUGAUUUACCAAUAUAUCAAAUGCAAUAUAUAUGCCUGUAUCUGUAGGUUGUAAUGCGAAUCUCUUUGGUGCUAGAUGUCUAACAGCUUUGGAAUUAUAUAUGCAUUCAUGUCGAAGUAAGUUCCUUAAACACUUGAUAUACAGAAUUUUAUGUGAUCCCUAAUUUAAUCAAUCUCACCUCAUGCCAGUUAAAUUGGGAUUAAGUGAAGUGAAAAAUCUAUUGAAUAUUCGCAGUCGAUCGCACAUGUAAGCAAUAAUCUCGUGAAAAGUAUGGAAAGUUGACAUCAAGUUAACUCACUUGAUCAAGUCAAUAUGAUGCCCGACGCAUGCCAAAGAUAGUCAAUUAUAUGUUACAAGUUUCUCGAGUCAAUGGUAGUUUAAUCUCACUCCUUCUGCUAGAUUCAUUUGUCAACGACAGUGGUAUACAAAAAUAUUGCAGCAUUCCCUAUUAAUUGACUAGAGGAAAAUAGCAGAUUAGAUUUGAUCCUUUGAGCCUCUUAUUUGCUGUUACAACUAGAAUGGUGCCCCUUUUUUCUUCCUCUUAUUUUUUUUGACCUUUUCGUUUCUUGAAUGUUCAUGGAAGCUUCUUCUGUACAAUGAAGAAUUAAUUGAUAGAUCCAUUUGCCAAUGUCCUUUCUUUUUUUCUCCCAAGAAUCAGAUUUUUUCGCUUUGAGUCGUGUUACUGCACCAAGAAAUAGGAAUUGAAACACUAUCAAACAGUUGGUACUGAGGCUUCUACAUGUAUCAGACGACCAUCCCAAAAUUGAACUUUAUAUAAUAAAUUCCAGAUCCUGAACAAGGAUAUGCUGUGAUGUGCCAUAAAUCCACAAAUAAAAUAAGUUCAUAUUCCAACCAGAGGUUCAAGGUGUGCUAUCACUGCACAAAAUCUGAUUGCUAAAACUUUCAGUUAUUCUUGGACUGACAACUAACGAAAUCUUGACUUGAAGCUGGUUUGGUUUUGGCAAAGGUUGACAAUUGAUGUCCUGGCAGCCCUGCAAAACAAAAUGAAACUAUAUUGUAUGAAGUAUAUUCCUUUUUCUUAUCAAAUGAAAAAAGUUAGAAUAAAUCCGAACUAAACUAUUCCUUCAAAUUAGAUAAAUUCCGCAUGAACAAAUACUUGAUACUCUCCAGAAUGAAAUUUUCCGCUGCAACUUGAUCUUUACACAGAUAAACUGAUAAAAAACUUGCAAAGGUCUACCUGCUACAAGAUUGACUGUCAAACCAAGUAGUCUGCUAACACCAUUGCUAAAACGAGCAUCUAAUCAAAUAACCCUAGAGACCAUAUACCAUCAAACAAUAUUUUCUACAAAAUAAUUAUUUUUUGUCGGCAGUGGCAAGAGCCGAUUGCUUUUCCUAUCUUAUGCACUAACAUUACUGUAGAGUUACAUAGCGAAAGAGAUCUAUUGCAAACAAAAACAAGUGAUGAUAUUCAUAGAUUUCGAAGCACCAAAGAACAAUUAUAAGAAUUCUGUGAAUGAUAAAAAAACAAAGAUUAGUCUUUACCACACGAAGAGGUUCUACAUUCAAGAGAUGCAGAAUCAAGAACAAUGAAACUAUAGAUACUAGAAAUGUUCCAUAUUUUACUAGAAACUACAAGUACAACUGAUACCUGGCAAAACACAAAUGUGUAGAACAUGAAUGUAUUGAGAAGUGAAUCAGCAUCUGGAACACUAACUUUCAAAAGCCGUUUCCCAUCAAACAUGAGAAGUCCAAGUACAAUCAAUUGAAAUAUACUCUGGCCAUUGAUAUUUCUCAACAUGACCCUGGUGAUGAAGUUCUCUCCCCACCAGGUGGUCUUUUCUUGUUCAUCAUUGGAGACUCUGCUGCUAAUGCGAAAGCACUGAGAAUAUCCAUAAUCAUGUUGACCCAAAGCAAGUGGGUAUCAGUCAGAGGAGCACUCCUAUGAGUAAAACAACAUGAGAAAUGUGUGAUUUUUAAAUGCCAGAGCAACUCAAAGAGUCCUCAACUAAAGUGCAGCAAUAAAGGAGUUCAAUGAAGAUUUGGGUGUACCUGCGAUGCAUGCAGAAAUAAAAUGAACCAUCAGAGCAACCACAUUAACUGUCAAGUGGAAAUUUACAGCAUUCUGGAUGUUAAUGUAAACCCCACGACCCCAUUUGGCUACAUUUAUAGUGGUAUAAUUUGUUAUCCAGUAUCAUCACAUCACCGCCCCCUUUUGCUACCUAUGCAUAACGUACAAGUUGGAGAUUAUAUCCAGUAUCAUUUUUCCUUACGUACCAAAAAAUCUUGGCAUAGAUCCAGUAUCAUUUUUGUCACACUUGCAAUCCCCUUGCCACUCCAACAUGCCUUAAAGAUCAUCAUGGAACUUCCCAACUUCCUUAACAUAAGCUGCUCCAUCUAAGCCUUUAAGUGCAUUUAGUGCUUGCAUGAGAAGGCAUACAAAGCAUUAAUUAAGUCGCCAUCAAGAUGCUCAUUAAAAGAAGUCUCCACAUUCAGCUCUGCACCCUAUUCUUCAGUAUCAGUUUCUGGAGGACUCCCUGAAGGAUGCUCAUGGGAGCCAGUUACCUUGUCCCUGUAAAUCAGACAUAACUUAUUAAAUAGCAGGCACCCUUUCUUAUGAAAACUUCUUGCAAACUUAUGCACUGGUGUGUAAGUCACCAUGUAAACUUAUUGAACUAAAUGAUUUAAAAAGUAAAAAAUUAAAAAAACAUCCCACAAGAUACAAGAUUUUACCUCGUAUAAGCGUUGCCAGACCUCGUCACUUGAGUUCCAACUAAGUCCCUUCUCAUUUAUCAAAUUAGCAAAUUCCUUCUGUCAAGUCCUUAAUCAGUUGAACUUAUUUCUUAAUUGUGUGUUAUCACAGUUCUUCCAGGUUUGUGCAUUAAGUGCUUCUCAGAUAUGAUGCCAUGCAGGCUUCUUUUGGGCCUAUUCCCCUUGAUGACCUCUUCUUCCAUGAGUACAAUAUAUUUUUUUUCAUCAUCAUUUGUCCAUGUUGCAUCACGAAUGUUGCCCACGUCAACCAUACAAUUCUCAUUUCAUAUUCAUUCAUAUCUGUGGCAUCCGCUAACUAAUGAAGGGGAAAAAAAUUAAAAUAGCUGCAAGGUGCACAUACAACAAAUGAUACAUGUCAAAUACAGCAUCAAAAUAUAUUAAAAAAAAUAAUAAUCUUGGAAGAAAGUGAUCGGAAUUUAUCGCCGUACUGGCUCGAACCGGACAGUAUGGGACAUACCGUACAGUACCCAUUUGGUAUCGGUAUAUGGUACGGAAGGCGUACCAACUUCGUACCAUACUACCAUACCAUACCAAUACAGUGCUAAUGUGGCACCGGUAUGGGGUCUGACACUGAGACGACAAACCUUGGAAUAAAUUGCUUAAUAAGACAAAAUAUCAAAUGAGAACUAAUCAUGACAAUAUACCCAAAUGUUUGGGGAAACCACUGUGAUAGAUGCCACAAAUAUAACAUCAUCCCAUAACAUUAUUGCUACUAGUACCAUACCAAGAAAGAGGCUUAUUAGGUCACUUAUAGCAAGAAAUAGUACUAUUGAUGAACCAUAAGGAGCAAACACAUUAUAAAGUUCAUAUUUGGAGGGCAUGACUCCAAGGUUGGAAAUCACAAAUUCCAAGCAUACAAGAGUAUACAAUGCAGAGUUUGAUAUCAAGAUUGAUGGGCAAACAUCUACUGAAACUUAUGACGUUAACAUGUUGAGCAGCAAAUAGAUAUGCUAACUUUUUUUUGUAAUGGUCUAGAAUUUCAUAGGUAGAUAGUAAAAUCUCAAUUUAAGUAAUAAGGCCCGCAAUACACGACAUACCACUGUUCUCAGAAACCUCAAGAGACCACCUAAAACAAUUCCACCCACUGUUUGUCCAAGACAAGGGAGUACAAAAUUCAUCUGCAUCAAGCACUAAAGGCAGACGAACCAAGCAAGCAAUAAACCACAUCAAACUCAUAAAUACAACAGAGUUGUUACAUCAUCCUGCAUCCAAAAGUAGAAGAAUAACACUGAUCUCACAUGAAUUUAUUCUUUUCUCAUACUUAUAAUGCAUAAUUUUACUAAUAAGGAAAAAAAACAUAAUCAGUAUAUAGAUGCAUGGAAAUAACUUAGUUCUUGAAAGGUUGUUCCAUCGUCUCCACCAAUGAAAAUGCAAGAACUGCCACAUGUGCUAGUUGAUGAUGCUCCAAAAGCAAGCAUCAAACUUCCAAAAGUUGGUUCUGGUUAAGUACCAGAUGUUGGUGGGAAGGCUGCCUAGAGACAACAUUUAGUGUCCCACCAAAUAUUGAACUCUCUACAAAGCAAAAGGAUCAGGACCCUAAAAAGUUUCUGAACAAAAAUAUUUCUGCUAGCACCACUUGUCUACCCAAACAUGGACUAGGAACUGAAAAGGCUAUCACAAACUACCCAAAGUUGCAAUGCAUAAACCGAAAUGGAAACCUGGAUCAUGAAAAUGAGAAGAAACUUAUGAACGAACCAUUGAAAAAAAAGAAAGAGAGGAGAUGAAUCUUUCUUUUCUUAUUUCCAAUGGAUUGUCCCAAUAGCUGUUUAGAACAGACUACUAUUUAUUAGCAUCUUCACUUCAUAACCAGAAACUUCAUAUAGAUUCUAAUUACCUGCAUGCUAAAAAGAAAAAAAUCACUCAAAUAUGUGUAAUUUCUGGAAACAUGUGUAAAAUGCAAUGAUCAUUCAGUGAAUAAAUUAUCAAACUAAAGAAAAUGCUAGAUAUUGUUGGAUUCUGAGGAUCAAAUUUGUGAUGGUGUUGCUUUAGAUACCAUUAUCACAGUGAUUGUCCCAAGUCACUUAUCCAUCCAAUGAUCCAUGGAUGAUUCAAGUCACGAAUAAAUAUAUUAUGGAGUGUAUUAAGUGAACAGGAAUAAAGCCACCAAAUGACUGAUUCACACUUCUUGGAGAAGAUACUUUUAGGAGUGAAGAAUAAAUGAACCACACUGAAAAACAGAUAUGGUGCUGUUAAAAAGCUGCAAACAGACCAAGAGUAUCCCACCAAUAAGUGAAAAGACGAUAAAGACUAACUAAUGAGCCAUCCCACAUGCUAGGAAUUUUUUCUCAAAAGAGCAACUGAUAGAUUAGAACCCGUUUGACCAAUAUAUUUCAGAGGCUUCUACAGGCUGAAACCAAAUGACUUCAUUGUAGAUGGUAUAAGACCAAAAAAGGUAAGUCGCCGUAUGAGGAUAAGAACAUGUCUUGGCCUAAGUAGUUAUGACAAGGAUUCCUAAGAAAAUCAAGGAGUUGUAACUGCAAGUUAAUCAGUGGGAAUUUUUUAUUUUUUGAUUUCUGCAUCUUUCUUUCGGAAAUCCUUUGGAUCAAAUCAGUGGGAUUUAGACAAUUACAAUAGCUAAUGGAAUUUUUGAAAAUUAUUCCUUUUAUUUGGCCUUCCUCACAGUCUCCUCUAUAAAAGAAUCCAUAUCUGAAGGCCUCAAAUUUAAAGAAUAAAAGUGAAUUUUUUUAUAUCAAUACCUGCCACUAUUUUCAAACCUUUGGAAGCCCACCAUCUUCUUCAUCUCUUCAAAAUGAUUCCAGAGCAAGAAAGGGAAUUGUGGUGUAAUGAUUUUAGAAAAAAUAAUGCUGCAACUCCAGCACCAUAACAUCGCAACAACUGAAAACAACUAAAUUUUUUCUUCUCCAUUGUCAUCCAUUUUACGUAUCUAGCCAUCUAACCUCCACCAUUAACUCUGCCCAUCCACUCAUUUCACAGACACCGAAUCAAAUUACAAUUACAAUUAUAUCAAACUGAAGGACAGAUGUUAUAAAUAUAAAAAGUUAUAACACAUCAUGACCAAGUCGAAGAAAAAUGAAUCUGGUUCAUCGUGGAUGCCAUGCAUAUGAAUAGGAUAUAAAUUCGCAUAAGAAACACCAAGCUACCGAAAAGAUCAAAAGUUGAUAUUAAAACUUACCCAAACGAGUCUUGAGAGAACUCCUGGAAAUCGCUGAGGGUUUUGCAGAAGAGAAGAAAAACAACCCCAAAUCGAAGAAGCAAACCCUCGAACGAUGGAUCAGGUGCGAUUUGGUGCAAAAGAGAAGGAAAACUACCCUGAAUCGAAGAAGAAAACCCUAGAACGAUGGAAUCUGGUUCAUCAUGGUUGCCAUGCAUAUGAAUAGCAUAUAAAUUCGAACGCAAGGAACAGAAGUUGAUAUUAAAACUUACCCAACCGAGCCCUAAGAGAACUCCUGGAAAUCGCUGAGGGUUUUGCAAAAGAGAAGAUAAAACUACCCCAAAUCGAAGAAGAAAACCCUAGAACGAUGGAUUGAAAGAAAAAGAGGUUAAAAAAUAAGAGAUUAAACAGCUCUUGCGAAGAUCAAAAAAAAAAUUUGGACCAUUUCUCGAUUUAUGCGUGUCAUCCUUGCGCAGGGGCCAUGCUAAUCUUCUCUGUAUCGUUCCAAUUUUAUCGGAUGUCUCCGAAGAGACGCCCGGUCCUCUUGGCAGCAUAUAGAAGUAGAAGCGUAUACUCUAUCCAAUAUCCAAUAUGGGACUAAAUUUAACGUUACUGACAAAAAGCACGUGAGCACGUGACUUGGUUAAUGAAUAUUGUGAAUUUUGGACAGAACCGUCGCACAAGUUUUUGUUGAUUUUAUGCGUUGAGCAAAAGCUGGUGGCAUCAAUGCACAAAGACAAACCGAAUACCAAAAUAAAAUCAACUUAUGGAUGGAAAAAUAGAAAAAAAUAUCACUAUCCGAGGCUAAGACUUUUUGAACUAUCUUAAUCACUCGUUUGAAUAAUUACUCUUAUUUCAAAGUGUCCCUAUGACUACAUUCUGUUUAUUACAAUAUCAAGUUUUGAAUACCUCAAAAAUAUGAUAUCAAUCUUAGCAAUUGCUUCUUUAUAGGAAGUAAAUUUUAGUUAAUUGGAUCAUAUCUUCAUCAUUUGAUAAUGAGGUCAGUUUGCUAAAGACCAUGCUUCGGGUUGCACCAUCUUGAAGACAAAGUUAUGUUUCUACCCAGCUUAAUCCAUUAUUAGAGUAUAAGUUUAAGCAAGUCUUUCAAAUUUAGAUGAGUUGGAUUAUUGUUCUAUGGCACGCUCCUCUAACCUGCCCCCUACAGCCCUACGAUAAAGCCAAAGAUAUGGUUUUUACUUUAAUAAAUAAAAAAAUAUAAAAUAUUUCAUUAUCCAAUGACUCUCCACAAUUAACCGAAGACUUAAUUUAAAAAAAAAACUUGCAUUAGAGUAUGAAAUUAAUUAGCUACUCUUGAUUUUAGCACACAUUUUGGCUCUUUCCUCAGUGGAUUCUAUUUGAUCUUAGAAGGACAAUUAUACUUAAGUUGUGAGCAACAUAAAUAAAUCAAAAAUCCUAACACAGUGAAAUUAGUUUGAUUUAAGCACACUUUUUAGAUUCUCAUCCACUUUAACUUUUCACAUCUAGCAGCAAGCGUGUUAAUCCACCAACAACAAAAACUUUCCACGAUCUUCCAUCCAUGACUUCAAAGAACAAAGUAAAUUGUCCUAUAUAUUUGUUCACUUCAAUAGAAAAUGAUACAUCUAAAAUACAAUAUAAGUAGGAGGUGAGAAAGAGGUUUCACCAAGUAAAAUAUAUAUAAUUAGAGUGUCUUGAACAUUUAAUUUCUUAAACCCCAAACCCUGCUUACAAUCAAGGGUCACCAUCAACCAUUUCUUAAUUUUUCAUGAGUCCUUUUACUACCUCAUCUUUUGAGACACCACCAAUGCAAAAAAAAAAACAUGAGAUUUAAAAAAACAUGCCAAGAGCUUCCAAGACUCUGAAAUCAUAUCAAGAAGUUGGCACAUAUCNNNNNNNNNNNNNNNNNNNNUAUAUAUAUAUAUAUAUAUAUAUAUAUAUAUAUAUAUAUAUAUAUAUAUUGUAUAUAAAUAUAACAUCAAUAUGCAAAAAUAACUGGCAAUAGAGUAUAAUUAUUAUUUUGUCAAUAAUAUUUGGCUGGUGCAGGAUUUUAUUUCAGGUCUUAUGCUGUUACCAAAUACCACCUAAACUGCUGGUAGAUGGCUGGGGCAAGCCGGAAUUAGGUCCGUCCCUUUAAGACAGGACCCAACCCAAACCCUCAUUCUUAAUUUCCCUGGCCGGAGGCGGUCGGAUCCAUCGGACGGUCCUGAUCGAGUUAAAGAUUCCUGGCGGAGCACCGGGAGGAGAACCGAGGCCCGUAAAACCCUACCUCCCUGCCCCUCUCUCCUCAAAACCCUACCUCCACUUCUCCCCCCGCGCGCCUCCAAAACCCUAGCUGAAAACCAGAGGGGAGAGGGAGGAGAAACCCUAGAAUUCCAACCUUCUCCUCGUCGAAGCCUGGCUCCGUCGGGCGAUGGCACUCUACCUCCUCUUUGAAUCGGCCUCCGGCUACUCCCUCUUCCACGCGUACGGCCUCGACGAGAUCGGCCAGAACACCGAGGCCGUCCGGAACUCGGUCCUCGACCUCACGCGUUUUGGCAAGGUGGUCAAGCUCGUCGCCUUCCACCCUUUCUCCUCCGCCCUCGAUGCCCUCAACCAAUGCAACGCCAUCUCCGAAGGUGAGCUCCGAACCCUAACUUUCCCCCCAUCUGCUGCCCAUUUGGGGUUCGAAGUCAUAAAUUUAAUCGAUUUUGUUGCGGGCUUCUAGGGCUUAUGACCGAUGAGUUGAGGAACUUCUUGGAAAUCAACCUCCCGAAACCAAAAGAGGGGAAGAAGGUUAAGUUCAGCCUCGGCGUUGCAGAGCCUAAAGUUGGGUCUCAGAUCUUCGAAGUGACCAAGAUUCCUUGCCAGAGCAAUGAGUUUGUUCUCGAGCUCCUUCGUGGUGUCAGGUUGCACUUUGAUAGGUUCAUUAAAGACUUAAAGGUUGAAUUUUUGUCACCUGAUUGAGUAGUUUAUAUCUGCUAUAAGUUAUACUGGGUUUUCAUGUAAAGAUGAUGCUGUUCUGUGGAUUUUGUAUUUGUGGUUUUAGCCAUCAGACUUGGAGAAGGCUCAGCUGGGUUUGGGGCAUAGCUACAGCCGAGCUAAGGUCAAGUUCAAUGUUAAUCGGGUGGAUAACAUGGUUAUUCAAGCCAUCUUUCUCCUUGAUACCCUUGACAAGGAUAUUAACACCUUCUCCAUGAGAGUCAGGUUUGUAUUCCUGAAUUAAUCUCUAGUAUGUGUUGGAGUAUUUGAUCAAUGGUGCAACCGGUGAUAUACUAAAGUUUCUAUAUAUCACUUUUUUUUAACGUUUAUGUCAUAACCUGUCCUUCAAGCUUUCAUGUAAAUAGCUCAGAUCAGUUAAGCAAUUUAUAUGCCGCAGGUAUAAGUUUGCCUGCUGAUGCCGGAAAAUCAAUAAGAAAAAAAUGAUACAGGGCUAACAAAGUAUCUACUGGCAAAUGGGACUGUAUUGUUAAAAAAACUAUUGAUCAAAUGUCAGUUGGAUCUUUAUGUAAUGCUGCAUAUUUUAUUGUUGUGACCAAUAUGACAUGAGGUAGAAUGAUAUCAAUUGAUGCCAACUAAUACACAGUUGACACUAGGUGCUAACCCGAACCUAUUAUACAGAGAGCUUGUGGGAAGCCUGGCUAACCAUGUGUCCUGGCCGCUAUCUGCCCUAUUUGUGUAUGUCUAAUUUUUUGCCCUUAUUAUUCGAUUUUGGGUAUAAAUAGCUACAUCUCGUAGAAUAGUUGAUGGUUAUGUUGCGCUUACUGCUGAUUGUUAACACAAUAGUUAUUGAUGCAUGACAUUCCUUACAUGUAGAGGAUAAGGUUCUGAUUAUUGCCAGAUGUAAAUGACAGUGUUUUGUUCAUGGUCAAUUUUGGUCGAAGUUGUCCUGUACUCUAGAUAUAUAAAAUUUUAUCUAGUGGAAUUGUUUAAGACCAUGAAAAUAUCACAAAAUAGAUCAACUUUUUGUUAUUAUUUUUUUAAAGAAGAACAGUAUAAGUGAUUUAGACAUGUUCAGGCCACAUACUCAAUUUUCAUUAUAAAUGUCAUGUCUGUUUCAUGAUACGUAAUCGCUUAUUAUGUAUGUUAUGCUUGAGCGCAACUUGAGAUUAUGGAAUAGGAAAAAACUAGUUUCAUUUUUUUCUGCUAGGAGAGGAAACCUAAGUUGCAAAAGUAGCUAAAUGUAUUUUUGCUGGUGUCUCUUUUGUAAUUUUUACGAGUUUCUAACGAAAAGAUACCUGGAAUUGUGUGAUGGUGUCCUGGAUUUGCAUGUGGUUGUGAAAAUUGCCUCUAAACAUUUAAUUACCUGGUUAUGCAGAGAAUGGUACUCUUGGCAUUUUCCAGAGCUGGUAAAGAUCAUCGGUGAUAACUAUUUAUAUGCCAAAAUUGCAAAGUUUGUGGAGAACAAAUCAGAAUUGUGUGAGAUUCAUAUUCCUGCUUUAGCAGACAUAGUAGGUGACGAGGACAAAGCAAAAGAAAUUGUAGAAGCAGCUAAAGCAUCCAUGGGUACCACAAAAUAAGAUCAUUAUCCUUUUGUAAUUCUUAAAAUGUUUUCUACCACUUAUACUUCUUCUUGCCUUUUCAGGACAGGAUCUGUCUCCAAUUGAUUUGAUUAAUGUUCAGCAGUUUGCACAGAGAGUAAUGGAUCUCUCUGAGUAUAGGAAGAAGCUCUAUGAGUAUCUUGUCACAAAAAUGAAUGAUAUAGCACCAAAUCUCACAUCUCUGAUAGGUGAAGUUGUUGGUGCCCGUUUGAUUUCUCAUGCUGGGAGUCUUUCAAAUCUUGCAAAAUGCCCUUCGUCUACUCUUCAGAUACUUGGUGCUGAGAAGGCACUUUUCAGGUUUUGAAUUUCCCACCCUAACAUACCUUCCUGUUCACUCAUACAAGGUCAGCAUCAACCUUGGUCAAAAGAAAGCGCUAUUUGCACAAGAAUAGGAUAGGAUAUGUUUGAUACAUGAGUCAUCUUUAUGAACCUAAAUUUCGGACCUCCUUUCAAACUAUGGAGGCUUCCCUUCAAGCAGCUCUUGCAUAUAAAAAAUUCUAGGUUAAUAUUACAUAGGUCUUUUGCAAUAUUUUGCACGUACCAAAUAUAGUAAUUGACAUGAUAUUUUGCCUCUCCAAGAUUGCAUUUUAAAAUAUUUAAUUGCAGUGCUAGCCAGUUCAGUGAACUUCAAUUAUGUUAUACUUGUAUUGUUUGCAUUACUUUUUCUUCUUGAUGUGUAUAGAGCAUUGAAAACUCGAGGAAAUACUCCGAAGUAUGGUCUCAUCUUCCACUCUUCAUUUAUUGGCCGGGCAUCUACUCGAAACAAAGGCCGUUUAGCUCGUUACCUUGCGAAUAAGUGUUCCAUUGCAUCCCGUAUCGAUUGUUUCUCUGGUUAGUCUUUAUUUGUGGAGGAUGUAUCCUUUUUUCUCAACUAUAGACAUAUGCACACAUUUUUCUAGAUAUUUUAUUUGUUCAUUAAUCAGUGAAAUAAUGCACGCAGAGAUGAAUACAUCUAUUUUUGGGGAAAAGCUGCGAGAACAGGUUGAAGAGAGAUUGGACUUCUAUGACAAGGGUAUUGCGCCUCGCAAGAAUGUUGAUGUGAUGAAAGGUGCUAUUGAGAGCAUUGGCUCACAAGAUGCUGAUGGUAUGGGCCCUUUAUUGAACCAAUAUCUGAAUCUUCACAUAUGAAUGCUUCAUCACUAGCAGAGAAAAACAUUGACAUUUCGGAAGUUCUCAUUUCUUUGUGUGCAAGUACAUAAAUUGCAUUCUCAUCUGAUGAAUAAUUAUCUAUUCUUGAUUAGAGAGUCAGUUUUUUGAUGCUUCCACACCUAAUUUCCUCUGUUCAAAAGCUUAUUUGGAUUCUAGAGACAGAUUUUGGUCGCCAUGCUAAGGCAUUGAAUACUAAAUUUAUGGAAGUUCUUAGUACAUGUUAGCCUUUUUGGUUCUCUUUUUGCGGUUAUCUGAUGUAUAAUCAUCUAUUCUUGAUUGGAGAGUUGGUUUUUUGAUGCUUCCAAUCCUAAUUUUGUCUGUUCAUAAGCUUAUUUGGAUAAUAGAAGCAGAUUUUGGUCACCCUGCUAUAGCAUCAAAUCCUAAAUUUGUGCAAAUUCUCAAUGCAUCUUAAUCUUUUUGGUUCUCUGUUUUGCUGUUAAAUGCAACUGCUUCUUGUUUAUUACCUUUGUCAAAUCUGAUUUUUCACUAAAGUUGCUCUCAUUUUUAACGUGUCAUGUAGUAAGUAGUACUUGCAAACUGGGCUGGAUAUAUACUGACAAAAUUAGCAAUUCAGAUGGACAGAAGGAUGAAGCUUUUGCGAAGAAAAGCAAGAAAAAGAAAUCUAAAGGUGAUGCUGUGAAUGGCGAGCCCAUGGAUGAGGAUAAGCCAACUGAACUUGUUACUGAUGGAGAUGCUUCUGCUGAGCCUGAAACUGAAAAGAAAACGAAGAAAAAGAAACACAAGCUGGCACAAGAGCAACAGGAAGAUGGAAUGGCUACCGAAGCAGUGAAAGGGGCGAAUGGUCAUGAUACAGAAGAAAAUGGGACUGCCAAGAAGAAGAAGAAGAAGAAGGAUCAAGAAGAAUUAGAUGGCGAUGUCCAAAUGGAAACUGAAAAGAAGAAGAAAAAGAAGAAAAGGGCAAGAACUCAAGAUGAUGAGUAAUUAUGAUAUGAAACUAGUGUUGGUUUGUGUUUAUUCAUUAGCUAGUGAGUCCUGCCGAAGCUCAUAUUUUUGUCAAGUCAUAGUUUUUGCCCCUAUAAAUUAUUUUGAGCUCUUGAACUUGGUGAGCCUGCAGUAGAACACUCAUUCAAAUGUUAAUUUAUUUUGUAAUUUUUGGUCUACUUGUAGCUUAUAGUUCUCAACCCGAAAUUGUGCAUUUUCAAGUGAUCGGAUCUUGCACCUUUGGCACACCAAAGUUAUAUUCUCGUCUUUGAGUGCAUCAGAUUUGCCUUGUAUUCACGGUAGGUUUUCCGCUUCCACCAGUUUAACUGGCAUAGUUAUGUUAGCUGUCUGCAUUGUUCGGCGGUUGAUGAUCUGAGUAACGCCAACGUUGGGUUGCUGAAACCAGCUCCUGCUAUUCUCCAUGCCCUGUGAAUGCUCAUCUAAAUGCCAGAAUUUUUCAGUGAAACUCCCCCUCUAUUGGAGAGGCAUGAAACACUGACUGGUGGGAGCCUCCAGCAGUUUUUACAAAGUUCAUCAUAAUAGGUUUCUUUAAUUCGUGCAGGUAUGUUAAGAGGCCAGCUAGGCUGGUUGUAUUUGAUGGGAUAGAAUGCUGUAGGUGGUGGUGUUCGUGUUGAAGCCUUUUUUCGUUGUAUGGUGUGGUGCUUGAUAUGCAAUAUUUUUUCUUAGGUAGGUUCUAAAUUCUAAUGCAGAGCUAUGAAAUCAAUGCAGGUUCUCAGAUAUUUGGAUAGCUCCCAUUAUCAAAUCAUAGCAAAGAAUAGAAUCAGGGCCCAGCUUGUAGAGUUGAUUCUGCACAUGGCAAGAGCUUCAGAGGAAAGUGACUGAAAAUUCAAAGGUGAAGGGUCACACGGAGAGAAUAACAGAAGAAAUAAUUUCAGGAAGAUGGUAUUCAGGAUGACAUUAAAAGGAAUUGAGCUGAAAAAGGAAAAUUGAGAAAGCAUUCUAUGAAGCUGAUACUCAGAAAAUUAUGAUGUUAAAUGCACUUAAAAUUAUAUACAAUAGAGGGUUGCUGUAUUUCAAAGUACAUGCAAAGAUUUGAGUAUCUGCAGAGAUUUUUAUGUCCAACGUCCAGAGGAGAUGAGUCUUCGUUGCAAGAGGGACACAUUUAACUAAUUGCAGGAACCCAUGCAACAUACGGGUGCCAAAGGGAAGGUAUCAUGCUGUGAGAGCAAGGAAGGAAAACUUGAGGUUCCUUCGUUCUGUUCCUCUCUGAUCCAUUUCAGCGACAGUCAAGACUACUCCAACCAACCCCUACCUCAGGUUUCUUCUUUUUUCAGCUUCUCUGAUCUCUAAAAGAAAGCCAAAAAUGUUAGAAAAAGCCCUCUUCUCCAUGUUAUCUUGCUUUCCACUUAACGCUUGGAUGCCGCCUCCAACCAAUUAUUGAUUUAUAUGCUUUGGCCUUGUUUUGAUGAUCAAAUUCAAGUCUACAGAUCGAAUCACUAUGGUUAGUUCUUAUAUAAAGUUCCAUUUUUUGCUUCCAAGAACCAACCAAUAUAGAGAUGAUUAUGGAACCAUAUAUUGUUUGUCUGCUUCCAUUUCGAUAUCUUUUUUUUCCCCCCAAAUAUAUGGAUGGAUUUGGCAUUCAUUCCUCGAACUAUGCUCAAUUAGACCUUUGCCUGCAAAGGCAGUCUCUUCUAGUGCUAUCGUUUUUGGGAGUUCAAUUUUCAAGGACAUUAUGCUAUGAGGAUGGUGGUGCCUUGUUUAUUCAUCCUUCAUAAAAUUUCCUACGCCUGGGUUUUGAUUGAAUUCUUUACUAAAUCAAUACAACUGUUGACAAUUGACACUUCAAAUUACCAAAGCAAGUGAAAAUCGAUGAUGGAGAAGUAAAUGAUUCAAGCCAUUUAGUAUUGUUGAAUUCUAACAUGGCCAAUGACCUUGGUGAAUCCCAUAGAAACCAUAGGACAUGCAGAACCAAGUGGCAGAUUCUGAACGAGAAAGGAAAGAAGAAGAAGAAACGGAGCAAAGUCAGUCUGGAAAGCCAAAGGGGAACAGAGAGGCUGUUAGGAAGCAUCGAAAGGAGGCCUAUGCAAUUUAUUUGGAGGAUGAAGUGAAGAGACUGCACACAUUGAACCACAAACUUCAAGUGAGACUGCAGUUGCUGGAAGCACCAGAGGUAGAGAUUGAUAGACCAAAGGGUGCUCUUUGCAGACUUCCAGGCAAAGAUUGAUGCAUAAUUGGGCAUUUUCUCAUUUGAGAAGCAAUGCAGUGGCCCUGGCAUAAAAUGUAAUGCCGAGGCGCCAUGCAUCGAGAAGGAGAUGGUUUGGCAUAGAAGAUGCUCCACCUGCUUUUGUGGAUUGCCAAGUAGACCCAGGUGGGGAUAUUGUGCAGGAUUUGUGACUCAGACAGCUCUGAAUUCAAUGGUUGUUUGGGGAACUUGGUCUCCUUUUGUCUCCAAGCCAGGUGAAAUGCUUUUCUGAAAUCGCAAAAGUUUUAACUCUUUAUUAUAAAAGCCUUAUGUUUGAAAAAUGUUACUGUCUUCUUGAUUUCCUCCUAUCUGAAUAAAUCUAUGUUCUCUCCAUGGUGAUGAAAUCUUCAUUUCACACCUGAAAUGAAGAUUUUUCUCCAUAGUAGAUAUACUGACAUAUGGGAAAUUAUUGAUAAGAAUAUAGAUUCAAGUUUAGCAUAUAAUUUUGGAAGAAUGGUGCACACAAACUCCUGUCUUUUGGGUGGAUGUAUAUAUUUGUUGCUAUCACUUUUAUUAGUCUGAAAAUCACUUGGUUAUGCAAGGGUUGUGCAACUCAGGAAGUUUCUUGAGUUAAAUUGAAGUAUAAAUUGUGAGAAGCGGAACUAUGAAAACUUGUGAAUGUUUUGCCAACAGCAGCUCAGCUGGUUGGCACCCAUCUCUUGGAUCUUUUUGUUGCAUCAUAGCAUAUAUGCAGGUUAUUUUGCCACCGUCGCAACGUCCUUCCAAUUUAACAAAUAUUUUAGUGCAAACACUUGUGUGUGACAGUAACAAACAAAUCACAUCUUUGGAAAGAAAUGAGUUAGGUGUUACUCAGGUGGCAGCAUCAUAUUAUGACUGGUAGGCUCAAAUCUCAGCACCUGCACAUAAGCUGGUCCUGGCAUAUGAUAUACAUCUGCUCAAUUUCAGCAUUAAUAAGUAGCACUCAUGCAUCCAAAUCUUUGGUUAUAUGUUUUUUAGGUAAAAAAAAAACCAAGGCAACACAUAACACACAGAUCACCAUAACUGGAGCUCACCAAUCAGAUGAUAUACCUGAAGACAUGUCAAACACAGAGUGUACAUGGAUGACUUGAGAUGCUUAUCUACUCUUCUACCACCUCCCCAAACUCUUCUCAUAUGACCAGGAAAAUGAAAGAUGCAGAACAUUUUAGGGGCUAUUUGGAUUUUCUGUCUUCAUGUGCCUUAGACCAUCCAUCCACGAAGCACAGUACAGUUGUUCACAGCAAAAACCAUUUGAAAACCUCGAACAACUUACACCACCUUCAUUUGAGGAACAUCAUAAGGAAUGCAGUUUCUGUUUUCCUAGCAAAUUCUCUCAGAACCUGCUCCACUUCAUCCAAGACCUGUGAUGAAAUGGAAUUUCCUUUACCGGCUUUUGGAUGCUGACAUUUCUGAUCUCCUGCUUUUGUAGUUCUAAUCCAGAGUUGAUUGUCAGUUUUCAAUUGAUAUCAUAAAUCAAAUAAAUAACUGAAUCAAUCAUUAAUAAGAUUUACUUCAUCCCUGUUAGUACCGGUUUGAGAAAAAAAUACAAUUUUUAAUACAGUCAUGGAUUCUGAAAAACAAGUAUCAUCAGGCCCAAUCGUUACUCUGCUUCUUGCUGGGCAACAAUUUGUCAAGUUUGAUCAGUCAAAUAUGAAAUUUCAAGUCUUUUGAUGAUCAGGUGGCACCCGAAUUUGAACAUAUCCGAUCCAAAAUGGUAUCCAUCAAUAUUCUAUUUCUAAUUUUUUUGAUCUUGAAUCCCAUUGUACUUGUCCCUUUUCAUAAAUUAAUCCCUAUUUUUAUUGGAUCAAGUUUAGAUUAUUCUCUUCAAUUGAGUAUAAAGCUAUAAGCUCUCAUGUCAAGACCCUAUUGGCCAUGGGUGCCGGUUCUUCAGGUUUGGAAAGGCUCUCUUAACCUCACCUGCUCUCCCGGCUCAUUUCCUCUCAAAAAUACCUUCCAUAACCUCUGGGGAAUUGGUAGUCACUACCCUCUUUCAUCUCCUAACACAAGUGAGGAUGAAAAAGCAAAGCUGGAUAAGAGUCUAAGCAAGGAGCAGCUGAGCAGCUGACCUAUUAGUUUCCAUAAAAAAUUGAUCUCAGACACCUCAUUCAAACAAUCUUUUAAAUUCUAUUCACCUGAAAGUUUCUAAUUUCUUGGAAAGCUCCCAAUCCCAUGCAAACCAGGUGCAUCCUAACAGAAAUAUUGUUUACAUGCAUUCAAAACACUGCCAUUGUUGUUUGCAUGCAGGGCUUUGAUGCCCAUCCUGCAGAUUACCAACUGCAGGACAUGCGAAAACCUAGUUCACAUUGAUUGCUCUGAUUAUUCUGUUCAACACGCUCGUUAUUCAGAACAACGAACAUCAUGGAACAGCUUCCUCAUUGCCAUAUCCACAUUUACUCAGAACUUCCAUCAAGUAAAACACUUCAUCUCAUAUAGUUUCCAAAACUUGUAAAAUGUAAUAAAAUAUCAUGACAGCCAAAAUGACCUUUCAAACAAAAGUCCCUACGAAUCCCCUUGGGGUCAGAACAACAAAUCUCAUAAUAUUUGUCAAAGCCAAAGCCUCAAAAAAGAACAAGAAAAAACUACUGCAUACCCUCAGAACACAACUACCUAAUAACCGCUUCACCUGAAUUAAAUGGUUGAGACACGUCUAUAUUUUGUUGAAGGCCACAAUGUCACAGCUCUGAACAUGUUCACUGCAAGGUUCCACCGUGAGAUGCUCCUCAAUAAGGCUGUCAACUGAUACGAGGUCAUCUACAAUGGUCAACAUGAUCUGCAGCUUCUUAAUGCCAUAACCCACAGGCACAAGCUUUGCUGCAAUUAAUUAAUAACAAGUAAGAGUCAGUUUUUAGUUUUUUCUUUAUUUAAAAAAGCACCACAAUAUAGAUUGACAACAAAUAAAAGGACACACAUGCUCCCCAUAAGAGGCCUGGCAUCUCAAUGCUGCGAACAGCCUCCUCCAGCUUCUUCAUGUCUGUUUCAUCAUCCCAAGGCUUGAUAUCCAUAAGGACAGAUGACUUUCCACCUGACAACAAAAAUCAAAUGGCCAAUUUAGAUAUUUUAACUAGCAACUAUGAUAACCACGAUAGUAAGAAUAUAAUAUAAUGCUGUUGAAAGAAAAAAAUUGAACAUUUAACGUGUCUUCCUUAAUGAUAGCAAAGCAAAGAACAAGUUCAGAAUAGCAUACUUUCUUUCUUCUUGGAAGAGGCUUUAACAGCCGCCUCCCGCUCCUCUGCGGCCUUCUUCUCCUCCUCUGUCUCAUCCCCAAAGAGGUCUAAAUCAUCAUCCUCCUCCCUGGCCUUCAGGAAGCACAUUAAGCGUUCUUAAGUUGAAGAUUGAAAGGUGAAGCAUUUACAAAAUAAAAAGCGAUUAUGCUAGGACUGAAAGACUGCAGCCAAUCUCCAAGAAUAUUUCAAAAGGGCCAACUUUACACAGUGAAAAACAUUUGGUUGUAUGAAGCUGAAACAACCAAUGUAAAAUAAACUGUAACUCAAUGAGCAAACAGUAAUAUAAGUGAUCAAGCCACCCAACACGUCCGUCCAGAUAACUUGGGGGAUGUCAGGUGAGGGGAUUGGUUUCCCCUCCCCCAAACCCCCUCCCCUUCCAUUUAAGGAAGGUUCCCCUGCCCCCCUCAGGGGGGAUGUUCGGCCUUUCAUAGAAGGAACAUAAAGGAUCGUGGUGAACAGACUCCCGACGCUUGUUCAGUUCUAUCUGCCCUAUCAUGUCAAGCUUUACGUUGUACAAAUUGAUCAUUUUACUGCAUAGAAAUUAAGACUGCAUAAACCCUGAUACUAAUGGAAGCUGUGGUUUAAAAUAAUAGCCAUUAUACAAUGUUCCAGAGGGAUCUGUUAUAUUAUAUCAAUAAACAACAAUACUUAAAAUAACAGCAGCUAUUUGACCACUGUUUUGAUAGAGUGAUCAUUAUAUAAAAGGAAUGAUGGUCAUUAUUUAACUCCUUGACCAUUCAUUUGACAAAAUAGCAUUAUUUUAAAAAUUCAAAUCUUCUUAAGCUCGAAUUUUUGUUCAGUUAAACAGAAAAACAAAAUUCUUCUUCAAAAGUGUUGUGGAGCAAAUAACAAUGUUAUUUACACAAUUCCAUAUUAUUUCUUGUUGUAAUGGCAGAUAUUAGUUGUUAUAACUGAUAAAAGAAUAAUUUUUCUUCUUCAAAAGUGUUGUGGAGAAAAUAACUACGUUAUUUCCGUUAUUGACCAUUACUCCCUCUUGGUGUGGCAGAUAAAAGUUGUUAACUGUCAUAAUUUUAUGUCCCAACUAUCUCAAUCUGGACACUUUUUGGCAAAUAAUGGCCAUUAUAACCAUUAUAAUGAUUAAUAAUGGUUUUGGUGGGGACCAUUAUAACAGAAGAAUGGUGCUUGUUACUGAAACCUUAAUGGGAGCACUUUAGACCGAUAUUAAAUCAAGAUGAUAAUUCAAAUGCACAACUUAGACAUCUUCAUAUCAGGAGACAACUAACAAAAUACAAAAUGAUAACUUGUCUUUGUAGAAUGCAAGAAUCAUCAUUACCAUAAGGAAUAUAUGUUCAUAUGAUUCCAACCUCACAUUCGAAAGAGGGAGAAUUUUUAGGGAAAAAAAGAGAGAAUAUCAAAAACAUCAUCACUACAUGCACAUGCCUACUGACUGAAACAACAGAAAGGAAAUGAAUGUAAAAGGAAAAAAGAUUACCUUUACAGCUUCGGCUGCAGGGGCAGGAGCUGAGGAUGCAGCUUGGUUUGCAAUUUUGACUCCAAGGGCAUCACCAGGAAAUCUGACCUCGCAAACAAUGAAUUGUCACGAUAGAGGGUAAAAGAGAGUGCUGAGAAAAAUUAAAAAGAAAAGAUGGAAAACAUGAUACUCAAGAAUAAGAAGCAUUUUGACAAAAUAACAUGUAAAAAUGUAUGUACAAUAUUUAAUCAAAAAAAAAUUAAAAAAAUUAUGUUGAUAUGAAAGUCGGUAUUGAUGGAAAAAACAAGAAACAUGCUCAUCAUAAUUUUACUCAGGUAAAUGCAAAGCUACUAUGAAACUCAUCUUGGAAGCCAAAGCUGCUCUCAUACAGAAAACCUGUUUCCUAUUUCCAGAAUAAAGUUUUACUGUUCGAGACUGAGGCAUACCAAUUACUAAUCAAUUUCUUAUAUAAUUACCAGACAUUUCAAAUGAAUAAUCUGAAUUAUGCAAACUAUAUCCUAUAACAUAAUAUAUGCAAAGACCAGUAUUCAAAUAUCCUAGGACUUCUACUAUAUGCAAAGACCGCUGUGAUUUCAUGCUUCUAAUAAUACAUACUUGCCGUACUACAUUACAAAUUUCUUGUGGCAAAAGCAUCUAAAAACUAAAGCAAUUCACAAUUCUAUUCUAAAUUUAUCUCUGCAUAUGUCCUUGCAAUUGCUGAAUACAGAAAAAAAUCAUAAAGAAAGAAUUAGCAAAAGGUAACUUUUACAUAAAGGAUCAUGAAUAAUUAAUUGACACAAGACAAACCUAAAUUUCUGCCUAUGGGGCCAAUUGGACUUGUGCUCUCCUAUUCUUUAGCUCCUGGACUUUCUGCAGCAUAUUUCUGGACUUGUUAACUCACUAACUCCACAGACUUUGCAGUCCAUUCAAAGAAUUAGUGAAUGUGCAUAGUCCACUACUACCCUGUUUGAUACAGGGAUUAAGCGGAACAAAUCCCUUAACCCACUUUUUCCCACCACAUGGUCCUUUUAUUUCCAGGACAGAAGGCAUCUUAAGGGGUGUCAGGAGUGUAAAGGGGAAUUUCAAAAAAACAAACUGACAGCCAACCUUUUUCUCAAUCCAGUUUGCCUAGAUAGCUCUACAAUAGGCUUAUUCUUUUUAUCCAAAUAUAUAGGCUGCACUUACUUAAAAAAAAGAGAGAAACCAAGGCUAAAAGCAAACCAUUUAUUCAUCUCUGUUAUCUACGAAAUGGCAUCACCCAUACAAUACAUAGAACAUAAUUACUUAAACCUAUAAACUCUAAAAUUGAAACAUUAACUUGAUAGAAUUAAUCCGAUCCCUUAAACCAAACUUAUGACUAAAGAACUUUUUUUAAAAAAAUAACAGGCCAUGAUAACUUAGUCUAAUCAAGUUGGUUGCACCUAAAACUCGAAGAUAUGCCUAAUGGUGGCAACCUGAAACUGCAUAUAGCUAGCUAAAUGAACUCCCCAAUCAUAAGUUAUGACCCCUGUAAGCUGCAGCUGUAAUUAAGUCCAAAAAAGUGAAAUAAUAAAGUUCAACUUUUAAGCUAAGGACUCAUCAUUCGUCAACCCAAAGCAGCUACCUAAUCCUAUACCUCACAAACUCUCACGAAUUAUGCACUCACAAACUCUCACGAAUUAUGCACACACAAACUCUAACGAAUUAAAACACAUCGAAGCAUUGAGUAUAACUCGAAGCUUCACAACUAAAAAGCAACAGCUUUGAACAAAAUCAAAGUUACAGUAGCAUCUAACCCACCAACCUUAGAGCAAUAAUUGAAGAUACAGUCUCGUACCACCGGCACACAUUCGGAAACUCCCCUCCUGGCUUUCUCGAUACUGCUGCAAAGACUUUGAUAUCAUCUCUGCUGAUCUGAUCUCUGGAAAACCACAGAAAACCAUGAAAAAUGCAACCUUUUGGCUAAAGCACCAAAUAUAAAACGAUUCAUAUGCAUAAAAACAUGAAAGUACCCAAAAAAAUCGAAAAAUCUAUACAAAAAGAUCCAAUGGAUCCAGAUCGUAAAAAGACGAUUUUUCCAGCGCAAACACUCGCAAUCGAAGGCGAAAAAAGAGAAACAGAACGAGUAAUAGAUCCAAUUGAACUGAAAAAAUUGGAAAAGAAACGAAGUAAAGGAUGAAGAGUAGGAAUUCACCCUGAGAUGUAGGUCUUCCCGGCGAGAAAUUCUUCGAGGGUUUUGAGGCCGGCUUCGGUGUGGAGAUCCGAGAAGGAGACCGCCAUUGGAUCCAGUGCCGAUGGAACAAGCGGACGCCGGAAGUAUAAUAGAAACCCUAGGACCGUCGCAAAAACCCUAGAACCGGAGAAGGGAAGGAGGCAAGCGGAAAGACAGAGAUAUAUAUGUUGGGAAUGUCGAAGAAGAAAGAAUAAGAGAGAAAAAAAUUGUAUUUCCGCCUCUCUAUUGCGCAAGAUCCGCUUUUAUAUAGAACGAUGAGGCUGAUAAAAUUUGGUAAGCCCGACUAAAUUUGGUAUAAUCAAUCAUAAAUUAAUUAAAAUAAAAUUUGAUAAGAUCAAUUAAAUUUGACACGAUUAAUUACAAAUCAAUCAAGCUUCUAAUCAAUCAUAUGAUUUUAAUAAAGAGUCCUAAAUCGUCUUCCACUGCGCCAUGGAUUCGGGAAUAAAUUAAUGGAAUAUUCUAAGGAAAUACUCUGGCUUCCGGUUCAUAUUACGCUGCAUGGAGCGGACGGCUGACAAUCAAUCGAUCUUCAAUCAUGAUUCAACGUCAAUGUGUCAUUGCCAGGGACUUGGGCAAUCUGAAGAGCUUAAAAGAACAAGACCAACGUCAAUGUGAAAUAAAGAUGGCAAUAGGAUCACGUCAAAUAUCUAUUACAUUGGAACCAAUAUUUUUAUUAAAUAGGUGAAAAAUUCAAACUCGAAUUGAUUAUAUCAGACACAUAAGCUAACCAAAUCUACAAUAAAUUGAAUCAAGCUAAAUAGAUUAAGCAAAUUAAGAAUUGCCACCGCUCCGCAAAAAUUCUGUGAAGUGUCAACCUAUGUCUUGGAUGAUUGUUUAUGAGAGUUGUUUAUAUAUUAGCAUUGGUCAUUUAUUAAUAUAUGGUCGCAGCUCGCAGCUCAUUCAUAUAUAACUAGUAUGGAUGAUGCUGAGUUCCCAAUUGAUGUAUAGUCACCUUUUCUCUAGUUCAUAUUGUAGUCCCAAAGAUACACACAUGUACAUAGAUACAUAUAUGUACAUAUAUGUGUACAUAUGCGCGCGCGCGCACGAGGAAUAGUCUUAUUUAGAUUAUUUUUGACCCUAUGUAAUUUGGCAUAGCUAACAAAAACUUCAACGGCUUCACAAGUCGUAGCACUUCUUAGUACAAAGAGCAUUUUAGUUUUCACCUCUUAGACUUAAUUUAGUUUUGUUUGCUAAUAAGAUCUGCACUGGUAGAUUAUUGUUAUGAUGCACAAGCCGAAAUGACUAGUUCCAUAAAGUUACAAUUGUUCUAAAAUGACAGUAUGGGCUUUUGUAAACUUGCCACAGAGUCAUGCUUUGCCUAAGUUUUAUAGGAUGAAGGGGUCAUAUGCCCAGGUAGCAGGAUUCCCUGUGGAAGAAUUUCCAUUGGUAAGGGACAAUAUUUGCCAAUUUGUUAGUGAAGUUUUUACCUAGCAGUUGUGCAAGAUAAGCACAAUGUCACUUUAAAGCCUCACUAUUUCACAUACUUCCAUCUUUUCCAAUUUUUCUUUGAAAAGAGGGAUAGGCAAAUUCCAUCUAAUUUUCAUUGGAAUCAUAAAAUAUGGUGAAGGUGAGAGGAUUGGAGACUGGCUAAGGCCCUGACAAUGUUAAGGAAUAAUUCGUUUGUGAGAGAAUUGGAAAAAUUAUUUGCCUCAGGGAAUAUUAUCCCCACCCCCCCCCAAAAAAAAAUUCAAGUGGCAACAUUAUGACUUUCCCUGAUCCACUCCAAAUUAGUUGAUUCCUUUAACUUCCAGUUUAGCCACAUGGUUAGUAUGCUAAUUACUUAUCUAAAAGUUUAAUCUUCUAUGUUUAUUUAUGAAUACUAGCUUUUCCCAAACUAUUAUCACUAUCCUGAGGUGAUCCAGGGCUACAUUCUUCGUAUAGUUUGUAUCCUGAUCGAUCAAAAAGAAAUCAGUGAAAACCAUAAUAAAAUCAGAAUGUUCAAGAUUUGUCAAAUGUCUAUAGGAAUUUUACAUCAGGGAACAAUAUUGUCAUAUUUGAACAAAUUAAGUAAAUUAAUAAGUGUUCCCAUGCAAAUGACCAGCCUAUAUUUCACAAGGUUGUAUUUGUUGAAAACAUUCGGCUUCUCGCUGAUGAGGUUUGAUCUUGGGUGUUGGAUGCCAAUACAAUGCAUAUUCUUCCUUCUGUGACCUGCACCCCUGCAUAACAAACAAGUAAAUAUUUAUGGAUUUCUUGCUGUGUUAUGCAUGGAUUGCGCUUCGCAUAAACCAUCUUAUAUGAAAGUUGGAUAAAAUCUACUUGACAAAAACAAUUAAUAGUUCUCUCUCAAAAAGAAAAAGGUGGGACAGAAGAUUGCCAUAUGUACCAAGCUCCCCAAUUUUAAUGUGGGUCUCAUCCAAGGAUUUGCUGGAUGGCACCUUUACCAUGAUAACUGACUUGCAGGGUGCAAGUUGAAACACAUGAAAGAAGACCAAAGUAUAGUUCUGGAUUUUCUAUGCUCUGCCAAAGUUCUCCUUCCAGCUCUUUAUAUGAUAAUCUUCAUUAUCCUUUAAACAGACAGGAUUUCCUAUGCAUUACCAAAAAUAAAGACAUCAUGUAUGAUUUUGUAAUUUAUGUCUUUAAAAGGGGAUUUAGCUCCAGAUGGUAGAGUGCCAACUUUGCAUCCCAGUGGCACAUGGAAAUAGGAGCAUUACCAACUCAUGUCUACUCUUGUUUCACAAGAUAAGAAAUGGACAUGCACACCAGAGUGUUAAGUGCAUAUCAUGUUUACCUAUCAAUGAAUUAAACUUUACCUUCAAAAAAAAAGGGAAAAAAAAAGCAUCUAGUGUAUGAUUGUUGUUGUCUUAACAGCGAUUUACAUGAGAAUUCCUGUGAUCCCUUAGACCAAUAAUGUUACAAGGUCUAAAGGAAACAAAUUGCUGAUAAAAUGACCAAAAUAACAGUAGCAGCAGCAACAAUAAUAUUAUUUUUUUUUUUCUUCGUGGGGUGAUCGCCGUCAAGAAUCAUACAAUAGUUCUUAAGACUACUCUUCCUCCCAAAGAAAAAGAAAAAGAAAGUUACUGGAGGCCAACUCAAUUGACUUGACUUCUGCAUCGGCUUCAUAUGAAUAUGCUUUAACCAUAUAGCUUCCAUCGUAUCCCCAAAAAGCCAUCCAUUUACAAGCUAGAGGCAGCAACCUCAAUGAAAUUCGGGCCACUGUUUCGGAUUAAAUUGAUGUGGACACAAGAUAUUCCAGUUCAUGGGCCUGAAGCAUGCUACCUGCAAGAGAUAAAAGUGCAUUCACAAUAAUGAGCAUCAGGUAAUUAAAGCUUUGAGGUCUUCAUUGACUGAAAAUCCAAAUAGCAUCAGUAGCUACAAACCUAUAAGUGACUUCCUGCUAUUCAAGAGAUAUACUGACCGAGAUUUUGGCCAUCAGCAAUGAGUUUCUUUUGAAACCAUAGAGACUCAAAUAAUUUGACAUAUUAUAUAUCUAGACUUUACAUAUUACUAUUGAGCCUCUUAAAACCUUAUGCACUUUCUCUAAUCAUAACCUUUCUUCUAUUUACAAUCCUUCAACCUUCAUUUUUAUCAAGAGCUGACUAAUCGAUUAUAGAUUAUCCAAAGAAUAAUGAUGUUGUGAUGGUUUAGCUUUAAGUUUGAAGGUUCACUUUGGAUAAGAACAUCAUUUUCUUCCCAUAGUCUUUCAGGAAUGUUUGAUAAGUAUGUUGGCUAGACUUAAGGAAUACUUAUAGCUGGUGACCAAAUUAAGGUAAUAAAAUCUUUAUGUAGCUUCAGAAAAUAUUGUGAAGAACUCUGCAUUCUUUCAUGUAAAAUGAGAACACAUUAACUUUUCUCUUGAGUUUCUUUAUGGAAGGGGAAAAUUUGCAGAAAUGAUCUCCAGUCCUAAGACCUGGACCCCUAUAUUGUGUAUACAGCUGAUCUGAUCCAGAUAGGUGAUCAAAGAAUUGAGGGCCGUUGUAACUGUUUCCUUGUUUGACCACUGAAGAUGCUUUGAGAAAAUUUGGUAUUUGAUGGAAAGAACACCUUUUUCUCUUUCUUUUGCACGAAAGGAAGUUCACUAUUAUUCUAAAGUUGAUGGAGAAAAAAUUAUAGCACCGUCAUUAUCCUAAUUGUUUGACUAUUGAAGACACUUCCUGUUUGAUGAAUUAAUUUUAGAAUAGGGACCAAUUGCAAAACAGGAUGAUGAAGUUGAUCCUAAUUAAAUGGAAUAUAUCAUGUUAGAAAACCAAAAGUGAACUAACUCUAGUACAGCUGAAGAUCUUUCCAAAUUAUCUAAAACCUAAAAACAUCCAUCAGGUGCAUUUGUGUUGUUUCUCUUUAUCUUUACGCAGUAACACAUCCAUUGUCGCCUUUCAAUUAGACAUCCCACAAACAGACGGAAAAGGGCACUGCAUAUUUGAUACUUCUGACUAAUGUUUCAUGCUAAAAUAGAGGAAAGAUUGAGCUACAAAAUGAGCUUAAGAAAAAUAAAUACCAUUGUAACCAAAAGACUAAAUACCUGUGAUUUUUUUCAGAAUUGAAGAGGCUAUAGCUUUGGAAUCCUGGUUUAGGUAGACGGAAACUCGUCUGUUUGGCAGGUAGGAACUUAGAACCUCCUUCAUCUGUGCUGGUCUCAAGGCCGCAUUCAUAGCACAAGGACUCCAGAUCUGCCUCCUAAAUGGUCAAAAAUACAGGUUAUCAACAUAACAAACAAUUAAAGUAAUGCUUGUCCUUCUAUUAAUCAACAAUAGACUAAGUUAAUCACGAGUGGCAGAAUAAUGGAAAUAGUACCUUGAUCAUCAAGAUUUUACAUAGGUCUCUUAAGGGGUAAGGCUGAAGCUUGUAGCUGCUGUAACUGAUAUAAGAUAGUGCUUGUCCACGAACCUUUAACAAGAGAAUCAUGUAAACAUUAAUAAUCUUAUAGAUUAUAGAAAUUCAAAACAAACUAUAUACUAAAGAGCCAUUUGGCAUAACUCUGAUUUUUUUAGUUUCAGAAACAGAAAAAUAGAAAUUCUAUUCUGCUUUUUCUAAAUUUUAAAAUAUAAAUGUGCUUAGCAUAGUCAAUUAUUUUUAAAAAUAUAAACAUCGCAAUGGUAGUGUAGAUGAUGGUACUAGCAACAUAAAUAGUGGAGGCGCUGAUGGUGCCGGUGUCAAGGGUGGUGGUGGUAGGCGGAGGUGGCGAUGGUGGUAGUGGUGGUGGGUGGGGUGGGGGGACGUAGUAGCGGUGAUGGCGGUGACAAGAAUGCCGGCUACUUGGUGGAGGUGGCAAAGAGUGAUGUGGCAGCAACAGCAAUAGUGGAGGGUGCUAACAAUAUAGAGGAGGUGGCAAUGAUAGCAGUGGUGGUGUAGUGAAGCGGCGAUAGUGGUAGGUGUGGUGGUAGCAGCAACAGAGGCGAUGUUUGCAUUGUUGGCAACGACAACGACAGUGGUGGUGGCAAAAAAUGAAAGUUUCUUAUUUUUGAAAAUAUUGAAAAUAAGAAUUUCUUACUUUUAAUUUUUUCUAGAAAUAAUGAAAAUGACUUUUGAAAAAUAGAAAAAAACAUCAGUAUUGAUGAUAUUUUUGUCUCAAUUUCUACAAUUUUAUUUUUAGAAAUAGAAAACUAGAAAUAAAGGUGAUGCCAAAUAGACCCUAAAUGCUCCUUUUGGAAGGGUCACUAAUAGGCAAUAAUAACCACAUUUUAACCAACCGGGCUCAUUCCAACUCUCUAGAGACGGCAUCAUCAAUCCUUCCUUGUCAUAUUAAGGGUCAAAUUUCUGAUAAAUUCUAACUUUCUCAAACCUUUCAAGCAACACCCAUCAAGAAAAAGGAAGUAGAGGGAAGGGGAAAAUAGAGGAGGCAUUAGAUAAAGAAAGUAAGAACAUUAAAUUAAAAGGAAAAUAUAUAAAUAGGAAAAACUUUGUUUUCCCUUCCAUAAGUACACAUGAGACACAUGAUCCUGUUUUUUACCAGAUGAAAUUCCCCCAAAUAACCCAAAGUGAAGAAAGAAGAUAGCCUUCUAUCUUGAAAUUCAUCCUACAACCCUGUAUUAGUUUUCACAAUUAGCCCAUAUGCCAUCAUCUUGGAGUGCAUGGACAAGCUCAACCUUACCUAGGACACACCCCUCAACUUUUUGUUGGCUUGCAUGAGAGACUUUUUUGUAUAGAGAUCAGUGCACCAUUAUGAACUCUUAUUGCAAGUAACCAUGUAGCACAAUUGUAUUUAUGACUUGCGUCACCAUUCUCCACUUCUUUUGAAAUGAAAUGAUAGUUCAAUCAAGUAGGCAUUGUUGUAGCACAAAAUACUGGACAAAAAAUGACUUCAAGUUACCUUGGCCGAAGCUCAGAGAAAAAGAUGCCUAAUAACUGGUGUGGAAAGGUAUUGUUCCAGAUAAAUAUUUUAACAAGAUUUUGCUUUUUGCCGCUACACCUAACAGGACACUUUCAGAAGAUAAUAUGGCAGCCAGUAACCAAACGAUGAAUAUCUGAGUCAGUCCAAGUUGGUUAUCAUGUCCUUGACUAUAUAUUAUAUAGAAGAAAUCAAGCUGUCUUUAAUAAUGCCUUUGAUGUGUAAGUGACCAUAAGCUGGCAUAUACCUCAUUGACAAAAUAUGUGGCACACUGACACUAGGAUGUGAGGAUGGAAGAUAUUCCAAGAUGUCAAUCAAGAUCGAACUUAUUUUUCUCGUUGGGCAAGAGCUAGUUGCCCUUGUUAUAUUGAGUCCUAUCAGGCCUCCUAUGUGACAGUCCAGAUUCUCCCAGUAAAUUGAUAAAUAACUAGAUUUAGUUAUUCAAGAAAGCAGCACCAAAUUCAACAAUGCUCAAGUCAAAAGCUAACAAAUCUUUAAAUUGAAGGAGUGAUGCAUCAUAACAUUUACAUGAAAAUUUUGCUUCACACCACCAUAUCAUAGAUUAUAAAACAAUAACAACAAAAUAGCGGCAUUGCCUGAGAGAUAAGAACAUAUAAAAUUAUGCAAGCCUGAUAGAAAGAAUCAAAGGAUGAUCAGGAUUGAAACUUUCACCAAUUACUGGAGUGAUUGAUUUCAUGCACAGGAUAGUUUCCAAUAAUGCAAUAACCCGUGGUUUUUUCCAUAAAGACUUCUUCUUAAAAAUGGUAUAUAGCAACACGUAUAUGUCUGUGGUUCCAGGAACUAGAUAUAAAGUCUCAUCAUAGUCCAAUCCAAAUAUAAAGUUGGUACCUUUUGCUACAAUAAGUUUUACAACUCGAUGAUCCACUUUGGAAAGAGACCAUAAUUACUAGUACCUGCCACUGAGGAAAUGAACUAAUCUGNNNNNNNNNNNNNNNNNNNNGGACUUAUAAAUGAAAUAUUGAUUUAACUUAUAACAUACUCUAGAUAAUUGCUUGUUAAUCAUCAAAAUAACACUAUCAUCCUCACUGUUGAUAUUUAUCACCAAUCUGAAGGUAUUUCUAAAUCAGCAUGGUAGCUUUUUCUAAUUUACACUCUCAUAACACAAACCAUACCACAUGGUAGUUAUGUUGCACAAGCCAAAAAUAGGUCCUCCAUAUAGGAAUCAGCCAGGAUGGGUGAAAGUUGGCCUUGCAAAAGCCUAGGCUAGCCUAUCAUUUUUUCCUCCUGUUCCUUUCCCUCUGCAUUGGAUGGUGGGUAAGCAGCCUUUUCACCAGAAGUUGUACAGAACAACUCAUGCAGCAACCACUUAUAACAAAAGAGAAGGAAAAAAUUAUGGAGCUAGUUGACUAAAGCAUCAUUGUUACUCAAAGUGUACGAAGUUCAGUGGUAUCUAUGUACAUUGAAGACUAAGAAAUGGAAGACAGGAAAGGUAAGAAAUUGUAAAAGGAAAGGGAAAACCAGAAUCGAUCAAAGCAAUAAGGCAAAAAUUGAUCUAAGAUUUCUUUAACUUUCCAAAAAAGGAUCCAAAGUCAGAGAGGAAACAUCUUAUCCAGCAAGAUCGACAUAAUCCUCAACACCAAGAAAUCAUGAAUCUCAAAAGCUACCAACUAAGUACGUCUUCCAAAUUAUGUCUAGUAAUGGUAAAAAAAUGCUUACACAUUCUAACAAUUUGUAUAAUGCAGUGUUAGCUUUCUUUGUUAACAGGACACCUUAUAAUGAAUGUUGUGCCUGCGCCCAAUGAUAAAGCCAAGCAUAUUAGACCAAGGCAACACAGAAACAAAGGGCUACAUGAUAAUGAAGCAAGUAUAGAUGGAUUAAUAGGAAUCUGAAUGAAUAAAGUCAAUACAAGCAUGGAACAACCUCAUUGAGAAAAGGUUCUAGAAGACACAACUGCAGAUCAGAUGCUUCAGCUGCAAUGGUACUAAACAAACGCUUAUAGUUGCCCACUUGAGAGUACCUGACAUCGUAAAGGUGUCAUCAGAGUAAAUUCUGUUACUAAUAAUAUGAAGAUGUUCAAUCAAUCACAUACAAAAAAAAGAAAUUUUACUAGCGAAAUUUGAAGUAUAAGGAGAAAGAAAGAAGUCUAUUGAGUUGCCCACACAUAAAAGGGAGGGGCAAGAAAAGAGGCAAGAUGGAGUUUCUGAAAGUACUACAAACAUUUUGAAUUGCACAGAAGGUUCGACACUGUAUGAUUCAAUAACUUACCUUAAUAAACUCCUAGCAAAGCACAUUUCCUUUGACUGGAGAAUUGGAAGAGCUAAUUGGCUAUACCAAAAAGAAAGCGAAUCCCCCUGUGUAUCAAUGUAACAUGUAAGGUCAAGGGGUCAAUCAAUCAACUCAAGCUCACUAUCAUCAUGGGCAAGUUAGUAUCCACAAAUAAGGCAAAAUCAGAUACUGACCAUUUUUGGGAUCUUAUAACCCAGAUGGAGAAGUACAUAAAAUGAAUAGAAUUCAGCUGCAUUCUUGCCUAUGGACUUGGAUCUUUGAUUAAUAUCAUACAUAUCGAAAAGAGACAAGAGGCAUUUCAUCAGCUGUUCCAUAUUGAGGUAACACAAAGAGGAUACAUCAGACUUGCCACAGCACCUGCCAAGUUUCUUGUGUGAUAUGAUAUGAAAUUUAACCUGCAAAAGUUGUAAUAGAUAUUAAAUAAAAAACACAUCACUAAUGUUUUUAAACAUGCAAGACUGCAAUUAAAGAAACCACAGAAUUACAUUAGGACAGCCAGAUGCAGUAAUAAAAGGACUGUAAUUUUCUGAAGUACAUUAAUAAGAAUAGCCUCCCAGAAAUUUCAAGGUAAAGGACCAGCAGGCUUACAUACAGUAACACCAAAAAUAUAUAAUGGAAGCAUUGAUGAAAAGCAGAAAGCUGGAUGCUGCGAGAAAAGAAAUGUAAGCUUAAUAUAUAUUUUUAGAUUUAAAUGGGUCAUAGCCUAUCAAACAUUUCGAAGUUCAAGGACAGAAGGCUUACAGAUGGGGCUACCACUCAAACAUAUUAAUGAGGAAGAGUAAUAAAACAGAAAGCAAGUCCUACCCUACCUUAAUUGUCAUUUUCCAAAGUGGAAUAUAAUGGAUCAGUAAUCCCAGAUAACUCGUGCAACUGAAUUUAUAGGUGUCCCUGUCUUUGCAAAUUUCUGAGUUUUGAUCAGGAAUUGACAAUUUAUUGGAGUUUCACUGUUCUUGACCUUCAAGACUGUUAGGCUGAGGUGCUAACUUCUUACCUCAUAACUAUGUUCUAGCCUACUGCUAGCUUUUUCUCAACAUAAAAAAAAAAAAACGAUCUCACUGAAAAAGAAAUGAACAAAAAAAGUCACAAAGCAAAACCAGAAAUCUGCAGGCAAUUUUUCCAAUGUCCUUAAUAUUCUAGAACACUACAACUAGCUAUGCUUGCUUGAGUAAAAAGUUCCAAUAAUUUAUGAAAAAGGGAUAUUUUCUCAAACAAAAAAGAGGUAAAGUCAAUACAUUAUGUCAUACACUAAGACGUAGGAAAUUUUGGAAGGUGAAGCUUAUUACAGGUAUGCAAAGGGUAGCUUUUAGAAGUAAAAUUAUAAUGCUCAAAUUUUCAUAGCAUGUUUGCAAUCUAUACAUAAGGAACUGAAAAAGGUCAGAAAAGAAGCUAUACCAUAUCUUCAUACAUACAAAUUGCUUGAUCAUUAAUCAUGUUCUGUAUGCUGAGAUCUUGUCUGAUAGACCUCGUCCUAUCGAAGAUGAAAUCAUGAACUACUUCAAAUGGAUAUUCUGGAGAAUCCAUUAAGUCCAAAAGAUACUUUAGUGUAUUUUGCAAAACUGGGAGAGGCCGGAUAUCUGAUGCCUGUAUAUGUAUGGUAGAGAUAGUUCUGCAAAACUAGAAAAAGAUGAAGGGUGAAAAACAUUUAUAUUCUAAUGAUCUCAUAAAAAAUCAAAGAGGAAAGAUUCACAAGGACAGGCCAUAUAUCAUUAAAAAAUCUAGGAGAUGUAAGUACAUAAUUGAUCUUACUUAUCAAGAGAUAUUUUUAACGAGACAAGCCCCCUAAGUCUUGCUUGUGAAUGACUAGGAAUAUGAGCUAUUCUCAGUGAACAUGCAAUGCUCUAAAUUUGUUGAGUUAAUGAGGUACAUAGAAAACAACCUAGAAAAAAAAUCUUGUUCAAAUCAAGAUAUCAGUUAAAGAGUCAUAUAAGAGACAGUUAAGCAAAAACCAUGCUACCUAUACUACAUUUGCUAGCAGGAAUCUCCCAACAUGGUGCUGCAUCUACUUAGGAAUCUAUUCGGAAACUUGUCCUUGCACCCACUUCCUAAGCGUUUCUUAUUAAUAAGCAUUUUAUUAUGAGAGCUGCUUCCUGAUACCCGUGCUCCCACAACUACACACACUUCUGGGAACUAAGACAUUAUCUAAGUCCAGAAUACAUGACAAUAUGGUAAGUCAUACUGGUUAGUACUGGUAUGUACUAACCGUACUAGUACCAAAUUGGUACAUAAGAUAGGGAGCAUAACAAUUGUCGGUACGCCAAACCGACUACCAUACCGGGCAUACCAAUACUAUACCAAGAUGAUACCGAUAUGGGAUCUAGCACCCAGACAGUGAACCUUGUAUGAGGCAAUACGUAUAGGGUAGCUGACAAACAAAGCUCCAUUUCCAAAUAUAAGUCGAAAAUAUGACCUACAAAAGAUGUGAUAAAUUUCCCUAAGGUCUCUUCCUGCUAGCAACCAAGGAAAGCACAUUACUAUCAUUUUAGCUGAAAAUUAUGACCUUACUGGAUUUUAUAUAACAAUAAUCCAAAGUUAUCAUAUGUCCUACCGUCUUACAAGUCAAAAAGAUGCCUUAAUGUUCUCUUAUAUCCAAGGAAAAACGCACGGGCUCCCUACGGGCUCCUAUAAGACAACCCGUAACCUCACCUCAAAAGUCUUGCUAGAAGGUGUUAUUUCGAUUUUUUAGCCUGCAUAAGUAUCCAAGAUUUGCCAAAUGCAUAAUUGAUGUAGAACUAAACACACAUUUGCACGGGUUAUCACACACUUCCUCCAUUCAAGCCCCAGCAUCUUUACCAAGCUAAAAAUCCAAAUCCAAUCAAAUUCCAUUAUAAACAUCAUGAUUGGCCCGUGGUCAGUCCCAAAAAGGCCUAUGCUGCAGUAUCUCCAAGUUUACAUAGGUCAUAAACCAGAUCCACUAUGAUACCAUUUGUAACAAUUCGGAACUACACUCAAGUAACCAAUCGGAAUGUGUUAUUUUGGUUCCUUCCCCUUACUAGUACCCAAAAUCUAUUUAGUGCAUAGCCGAUGUGGGAUGAAACAUAUAUCUGCAUGGGUCCUCACACUAUUAGAAGGACAAAUGUGUAUAUGGAAUCUUUAGCGAAGUAUGAACAAUUUUGAUUACGCACCACCAAACACGUUGAGUACCAAACUCUACUACAAAGACAUAUAUUCUUGCAAAGAAAAAUGCCGAUCUUGGCACCUCCCCCCCCCCCCCCCAACCUCACAAGUAUCAAAAAAGGAAGGAAACUGACAAAGUCUUAUUUAGUUGAUUUGAAGUUCAUUAAAUGCACUACCUACUACUGAGUGUCCUCUCCCAGAGCUAAAAUCCUAGCAACACCAUUAUCCCCAUUUAAUUAUACUUCCCUUAACAGCAUAAAAUAGUAAAAGAUCAAAAUUUUACCUUUUUCACAGCAAGGCCUGGAGAAGUUCUAGCCAGAUUUCCAUCUAACCUUUCAAACACUGCCAAGUCUCUAAGCCGCUCGCGCUGUGCUCUCUCUUUUUCUGUGAUAAGAAUGAGCUCAAAUCAUUAAGAACCAGCCCAAAAUAAAAAAUUCUGACAAUUAUGAACCCAACAACCGCUCCUACCUCACUGCAGAUAAGUUAUAUAGCAUAAACACUACACCACUAUCUAGUCCACCCGCAUCCAUCAAUCCAUCAAUUCAUAAAUAUCAUAAAAUAUAAAAGAAUUGGAUCUAGAUUCGAUAAUUGAACUCAAUCUAAUCGAAGAACAAGAAUUUUGAAUUUGGGAGGAGAGAAGGGUGUACCUGGACACAUAUCGGGGCAAGUUCCAACCAAAGCUGGGGCGUUUGGAGAGUAGAGGUUGCCAUCGUUGUGACUCCGUUCGCGUAUCGAAGAGCUCGGAUCAGAGCUCUGUUCGACGGCAGCAUGGGGUUCUUUCCGAGCCGGUGGACGAAAUUUCCAUGAAUUCGAAGAGGAAGGCGGAUUGCGGCGAGUUUCCCUUGCUCGCUGAAACCCCGAUUUGUCGGCUCUGCUCCUAUUCUUCUUCUCCAUCUCCGGCUCUGCCUCUAUCUCUCGUUGGAAAGGUCGGGAUCUAGGGCCGCAGAGUUUUGGAGGGCUGUCAUUAAAAAAAAGGGGCUAAUCUCGAUUUCUAUUCGACAUCCACCUGGUUUAUCUGAUGCUCGAAAGACGGCAAUUUAUAUAGCUAUAACGUGAGUACAUUCUGCCAAAUCAGAAGAAAGCAAAAAAUACAAAUCGGGCGGAAGUUCUACUGUGGAUUUUCAGUAGAACUCUCUGGAAUGUCGUGCAACAUAGGAGGCGACCCAAUCUACUGCCCACUUCGCCUCCCGAAAAACGUGUACUGUCUGAAACUCAUCCAUCUUCAUAGCCAGCCUGCGGGUCUCUCGAAUAAGUGGGUGACCAUCUCCAUACCUAUCCGUUCUCCAGAUCCAAACUAUCACAAUAGAAGAAUCCUCCUCAAAAUACACCCGACCCGAUCUACUUAAUUUUUGAGAUAAUUUUAGAUUUUCUAUCAUAACCUAACCCAAACCCAGUAUGCCAUUGGGGCCCGCAAGUAUGCUUAAGGGCCAAUAACUUUGUAUUACUUUAAUCUCUUCCUAUGCUUUUAGGCAAAAGGAAUAGAAAAUGCUAUUUUUAUGUACUAUCGAAUGGCAUGAAUUUUAUAUUAAGAUUUAGAUUAGUUACAUUAAAUUGGAGCGCUGAAAACUUUUCUAAAAAAAAGUUUCAAACUAAUAAAGACAAAAUAAAGUAUAAUUUUAUCGUGCGGAAGAAGAUAGGUAUAUAAUGAGUCAUUUGCAGCUAUUAAAUUUUGCCAUGUACUAUUAUCAAAACUAUAUUUCUCGUUUUGGCUUAUGUAUGCUUUUUUUAGUAGUAUAUUUUUAAAAAAUGGUAGUAGAUGUAUUCUAACAAAUUCAGAGGAUAUCACUGCUGCGUAAAAAAAAGAUAAACAUAGACACGAUUCUUUUCUACUCAAAAAAAAGUAGUGCAUACAUGAGCAAAAAAUUUUUUCUCGUGGCUAACAAGGUCGAGUCUAUCAUUAUUAGAUUAGUUUGUAAUGGCAUCAAUCUUUAAUACUAGGGUACUUUCACUUGUAUGGUUAUGCAUAACCUGUUUUCUUUAAUUUUCACUCAUUGCAAAAUAAACCAAGUAUAAAGAAUGACAAGUACAGAAAUCCGAUCCAGACUUGACCCAGACUCAAUUUUUUUUUGGGUUAGGACAGGAUUAUACAUGAACCCGACCUGAUCCGAAUGACUCAUUGGAUCAACAAUUUUAGUUGUGGACCCAACCCAACCCAAUCUGAUCUUUUAUUGGGUUAGGUCUAGGUCCAAUAUUAGGAUCCGAACAAACAACCGGAUUAGGUUGGGAUUACUCAUGACCCGGUCCGGUCUAACCCAUUUACCCCCCCUAGAGAUGAUGCCAUGGAGUCCAUCUACCUUUCCUACCUAAACAAUGGGAGAAUUUAAUAUAUCAGUAUCUUGUACACACUUAAAGCUUGUUUGGGCGGACGGAGUUGAAUUCUAGAAUAGAAAUAAGUAAUUCCCGUUACAUUUCAACACAUUUUAAGUCCGUCUGUGAUCGCAAACCAAACACACCCUUAUAUCUAAUCGGUAUAAAUUUAUAUAUAUAUUUAUGUAUUUUUUUAAAAAAAUAUAUGUUAUACAUUUUUAUUUGUUCUAUUUAAAUUAUAUUUAAGUGUGUUAAAGUCAAGGACUAAACGCUAGAGGGCCAUUAAAAUAAUGGGAUGUGAAUAAAAAGUUUAAUUCAGGAUUAUUACUUGUAAGCAAUUUUAUACUAGACAAUAAUUAUAAUCAAGGACUAAACAUUGAAGGUCCAUGCUAUCUUCUUUUGUAUCAUAGUGAAUUGAAUUGAAGUUUUUGGUUUCUCUUUAUAAUAGUUUCUGACGGUGUGAUGGUGUAGUCAAGGCGGCCUUCAUGCGGAUUGAAUAUUUUUCUUCUUUGGGUGCAACUCUAUGCAUUAAGUAAUGCAAUGUCGAUGAAAUUAUAAGAAGUCCAGUGGGUACCAGUGCAACUCCAGUCAUUAAAACUCUGGCUAGUUUAUCUUCUUUAAUCUUUACCAUUUCUAGUUUUCUUUUGAAUUUAACCUUUUAUUUAUUUGCUUUAUCUUCUUUGAGUCCGCAUAGUUGCAAGAAAAACCAAAGAUGUUAUUUUAGUACUUUUACAAUCUUCCUGCUGAGUUAAUUUCAGUAUCAUGAAGCAUCUCAGAUCAUUGCUUGCAAGCAUCCUUGAUCCAACGCACCUGCAACGCCAAUUAAAUUAUUUUCUUUUUAGCUUUCAAGCAUCCUAACUCCACACAGCUGGAUCAUGGGUCUUGUUGAUCCUAGACCAUGUUUUGUCAAUAAUUUUUUCUUUUAAAUGAUUAAAGUCAAUAAAUUUUUAUCAUACAUCUAAACUAUGUAUAACAAAAGCAUUGCUGAUUCAGCUUCUAUAGCUUAAUUUUAAGCUAUGCAGCCAUACUUUCUAUAAAAAAAUAUAAAAUAUAUGAAUAAAUCCAUCUCACCUUAUCGCUUUUGGAACUAGUAGUGAUUUUAACAUGGUAUUAGAGUAGAGAUUCUGAGUUCGAAUUCUGUCUCCAAAUAACAACAACGGAAAUCAAGUUUGGUGGAAGCUAAUUUAAAAUAAAUCCAUCUCACCUUAUCGCUUUUGGGACUAGUAGUGAUUUUAACAUGGUAUCAGAGUAGAGGUUCUGAGUUUGAACUGUCUCCAAAUAACAACAACGAAAAUCAAGUUUGGUGGAAGCUAAGUUAAAAUAUUUUUUUUUUAAAAAAAAAACACAUCACACCACACUGGUGGGCCAAGCAUCAUUUUUCUCCAUCAAAAAAUCGAACUCCACAUCAUGGUGACGCAGAUGGGAUAUAUUCUACAAGCCAAUAAUUUGUGCGGACGGACGCUUUUAUGGGCCACCAAACAGCCCGUCUAAUAUGCCUCUUAAAAUCACUAUCUUACAACUAUAUGUAGAGAAGUUUCUAUGCGAGAACCGGAUCUCCCGCUCAUGGGCUGGCGAACGAACGGCGGAUCUGUCAACCGCAUAGAAUUUCCUCUGCGUACCGGCGUCGAUAAAUUUCGUCGAAGCAUCCGAGCCGAGGAUCUUGGUGCGCGUACCGCACCCUUUUCUAAAGGGUCCACGCGGCCAUCUAAAUCGGACUGUCCAUCGUGAAAUCAACGGCGGAUCUGGCUUCUCGACGGCCGCGGUGCGAAGAGGGGAAAGAAAUACAGGGAGACGCCGCUCCAAAGAAGUCAAUCCGCAUAUAAAAUCCUUGGAUCUCGGACUCGUUGCUUCGGAUGGUUUUGGGUUUCUUCUCCGCUUCGUUGUUCUUCUUCUCUUCUUGGAGGUAUAAUACUCGAUGCUCUAAUUUCUUCUCUUUUAUUAUUUUUAAUAUGGGGAUCUCGCCGUUCGCUUAAAGAUCUUCUUUUUCUCCAUUUUUGGGGCUUUUUUUUUAUUUUUUUUAGUGCAGAUUUGUUGAUCCGUGGUGAUUUUUUGAAUGGUAUUGAAGUAAUAGCUAUGGGUAGGGGUGGGAGCUGGUGAGGCUUCUGGGAUCUUUGAAUUAGGUUUCCUUCCGAAUUUGGGAGGAUUUGCUUCCAGAAUUUCUGGAAAUGUUUGUGUUAAAAGUUAGAACGUUGUUUGGUAAAUAUGUGGUAAUUUAAUUCGAUUCAGUUUAAUUACUUAGCUAAAAGCAACGUUUAUGCCUUAGGUCUGCUUAUUCCCCCAAAUUUCAAAUUAUUUCGGAGUUUGGAGUUGCCAUUAUUGCCCAUAGGCACGCCUUUUUCCUUUGUUAUCCUGGAUAAGACCUUCAAUGUUUGCUUUGAUUCAAGUCUUGGAUGAGCCAAAAAAAACAAAUAUUUCUCCGUUAGUUGAUAUUGAAAUCUUGUGGGACAUUUUUCUAAAAUUUUUCGGGUGUCGUGAAUAAUUUCCAGUUUAAUACAAAUCAGCUAUGCCAAAUCUUGUAAAAAGUCCAGCAUAUUAAAAUUUCUAUAUGAUAUUGUGAUAUCCGAGUCUUAAUUGACUAAAUUUUGCCGUCAUAGCUAAGAUUUCCAUAUUAUGUGAAUCGGUUUAUUGCCAUCAUAUCACUUUGUGCUUUGCAUGUCCAACCGGAGUGAUGUACCAUUUCCUCCAUGUUCUUGUUUUAUUGUAUCAUGAAAUUUCUCAAUUGUCCAAGCAUUGUCGAUCUGAAUAAAGUAAUAAAUAAGUUUUCUUCAUGUUCCUGUUCUUAUUGCAGUUUCUGCUUUGGGGUCAUAUUGAACUCAUCAAGAGUUUAAUAGAUUGAAACUAGAAGAUGUCAAGCGGUAGACACACACAUUGGUGUUUUCAAUGCAGGCGUAGAGUCCGGCCUCGGGGGCGGGGCAUGGUCUGCCCCAACUGUGAUGCAGGUUUUGUGUUGGAGCUCGAUGAGAUAGAGGUGCUUAUGAGACAGUUCAUCAGCAUGGACCCUGAUAUGGAUCGUGACCCACGCCACAGUGUCAUGGAGGCCAUCUCUUCUAUGAUGAGUCAAGGGAUGGUGGGAAGGAGCCAUGAGUUUGAUGGCCGGGGCAGACCGAAUAUGUUCUCAGACUUUGGGAUGGAAUUCGACUCUAGUCCUUGGUUGGUCUUCAGGGGCCAGCUCCCUGUUCAUAUGUCUGACAACGAUGGGUUUGAGGUCUUCUUCAAUGGGCGCCGUGGUGUUGGCAUGCGGCGAGCCAACAUGGCAGACUAUUUUGUUGGCCCAGGGCUAGAAGAUCUAAUUGAACAGUUGGCACAAAAUGAUAGGCAUGGACCACCACCUGCAUCACAGUCAGCAAUCAAUGCUAUGCCGACCUUGAAGAUCAACCAGAGGCAUCUGCAUGGAGACUCGCAUUGCCCUGUUUGUAAAGAGGAAUUUAAGCUAGGGACUGAGGCACGGGAGAUGCCAUGUAAACAUAUAUAUCACUCGGACUGCAUCAUUCCCUGGUUGGAACAGCAUAAUUCCUGUCCAGUUUGCCGCCAUGAGCUGCCACCACAGAACUCUGGUAGUUACACACGUUCAAGAUCAAGCAAUCAAAGUUCAACUAGCAAUGGAAAUAACCGGGGACGUCAAUGCAGGAGGAACCUGUUCUCCUUUCUGUGGCCUUUUCGCUCUUCAAACUCAAAUUCUAGAUCUCGUUAGAAUGAUUAGGUGGGUGCAAUUCUGCUGCUUUCCAUGAAUGUACUAACGAGAUGAGUUUUUCUGGAUUCUCUUGUGAUUGGUGAAAGUUAUGUCUAUCACCUCGUUUAGUUCUCUACUGUAUCCCACUUGUUAGAUGAUAGUUCAUUUCCGUUGCCUGUGAAAACUUGCCAGUAUGCAUGGUUUCAUGUAAAUGCUCUUAUUUAUUUUUUGCUGCAUCUGCUUUUAUUCUUGCAUUAAAACCACGAUGUGCUUUUAUGUAGUUUAAUGCAAUUAUGAUUGAGCAGUCGUUUUGGGCUUUUGAAUGCUGCAUUAUAAUAUUUACUUGCAGAAAGAGAACCAAAAAUUCUUCUUGAUGUCAUGAUGGCCUCCUGUUGUAGGCUGUGUUUGCCUUGUGAUGUUUGUAAUGAUUGCUUGAGAUUAUACAUAACAGUAGAAGAAUGAAUUGUUGUUUUUUAUAUGAAUUAUACAUGUGAUCGGUUUAUGUUGGUUUUGCUCGUGACAUUGAUUUAACGUCCAGUGAUUCAAUGAAUUUGGUUUAUUUAGACCAAUUGCAGGUCUUAAACUUUUGAACAGUGAUAACUAUCCAAACUACAGGUUUGAUGGGUUAUUGCUUUGGUAAGAUAUCUCCUAGCAGUUAACUGCUUCAGUAGCUUGCAUUUCACAUGCACUUUUACUUGCUAUGAUGUUUCUUCUGCUUCUUCAAGUUCACUGGGCUGGGAGAUUGCCUUAUAGGUAUAAAGUACAGUUCGCAUGAGACUGAGUUAAUUCUACUUAAGUGCUUGUUAUUUAAAAACAGACUCGUCUUCUUGUUGUUAUUAUGACAUAUAAACCUUAUAAUGCUUCAUCAGAUAAUCUAAUCUUACAUUCAAGGUGGCAUUUUGAAUUUUGCUGUCUUCAUAUAGCAGUUAUGGUCCUUAUUCCUGCACAGUACACUUGUCAAAGUUUCUCUGAUUAUUUGAGUUUGUUUGGUUUAUAUGUCAAUUUAAUAGCUGUUGCACUGGUAGUGGCCUUUGUUUCUCCUUUACUAUUCAAAACUAAGAUGCAUUAUGGUAUUCCAUAAACCAUAUUUCAAUGAAGCAUUGUUGUUUCUUAAAGAUGAAGUAGGGCAGUGGGGUUAGGUUUCUAAGGGCUUGCUCGCGCUAGGAAACCAAGGAGCAUGGCCAUCACACUCGAUUUUGCAAAAAAAAUCAUGGCAUAAUAAAGAUCAAAUUGUUUUUUUAUAUUUGGUCUAGAUUUAUCUUCUCCCAGACUAAGUUGCCUCUAUAUAUAACUAGCAGUGUACUUUUCUAAUUGGGUGGACAAAACACAUGCUCUGCAAAAAAUGGCGAUUAGCUCAAGAUGGUUCGAGCAUGCAGGGGAAAAGGAGGCUCAAUAGUCAAUUUCGAUUGGUCGGUACCGAACGGAGGCUCAAUAGGUGGAACGGGUUUCGUGAGCAGAGACCCAAACUUCAGAGUUGUGGCUGCGGAAGGGUGUCAGUUAUUCGACUGCACGAUUUCCGGUGCAGAGCUGAGGGUGGCCUGGGCGGGUCUUCGGCAUGCUUAACAUGUGCUAUCAGCUAGGUCAGUCAUCUUGAAGGGGUCACUCGAUCAUGGUUAUCAGUUGGGUCCAUAAGGGUCCGAGGGUUGCUGUUGGUGACCAUCUAUUACUUCGUGACAUUUGAAUAAUGAUGAGGGAUGUAAGCGUUGUCUGGCUAAGCCUAUAUUUAGAGAAGUCAAUGGGGCUGCGGAUUGGGUGGCCACCCACGUGGCUCACCACGCCGGCAGUAGUGUGUGGACAAGGAAUGAGGAGCUGCCUCGAGAGCUUUGUGAUAUUUUAUUUUUUGACUUUAUUAGAUGUAUUCGUAUACAUGUUGUAUGAAUUACCUGUCGUAGCAGAAAACAAAAAUAAAAAAGGAGCAGCGUCGACAUCAAUAAAGUUGCAGGGGGCCUCGCGCGCGAGGAUAGCAUUUUAGAUGAUGGUGGCGAAGAUAGAGGAGGGAUUGAAGACGAAGUGGAAGCAGCAAGGGGGUUGCAGAGGCGGCGAAAGGCACCAAACUGGUGGGAGUGGAGGUGCGAAAGGGAGACAAGGGAAGAGGAGGAGGUCGAUGGGGUGGUGGGCAAGGACGGAGAAGAGGAGCAGGCAUUGGAGGGGUUGCUGAGUAAAUUUUGAAGAAUAUAUCUUCUUCUUAGAUAACGAUCUUUCUACAACCUGCUUUACGAGGGUCAACUAUGGUUUUCUCGGGGUUAAUUCUUUUAUUGUUGACACUGAGGAGGAUUUUUGGGUCUACUUAGUGUUCUCUAGCUAUGAUGUUUUAGACUGUAGUUCAAUGGUUGGACGUUAUGGUAGCCCUUCAAACAAUUUUAGGACAAACCAACGUAGCUAUAAAUUUAUAAGAGAGCAUAUGGAUGCUGGUUUUUUUAAUGCUUGUUGCUUGUUGCACCAAACGCUUUGAAAGAUCAUGAGCUAAGUGCCGGUACUCUUUUCCCCAUGGAUUGCUCAACUUUUGCACCAUGUGUAUCGAUAUAAUUGCCAAAAAUUCAUAUGGCAGGUGAUGGCAUAAGGAAUGGGUAUUCUAAAAUACGUCCAAAGAUUCUUUUGUAGAACCUUUUAAAAUCCAUUACAGACAUGAAAGUAUAAGCUAACCCCACCUCCUGGCUAUCUCAAAGUAAACUUCGACGGCAGUAGGUCAGCGGAUGGGGUGACUGGAUGGGUCGGAUUUGUGAUCAGGGACCACCAGUGAAGGAUGCUUGUUGCAGGAGGGCGGCGCACGCCAGGGCUUACAGUAGUCGGGGCAGAGCUGCGGGCAGCCUGGGAGGAUAUAUCAUAUGUCAGGCAUGUACUUGUGUCGAGCGGGUAUACUUCGAGGGGGACUCAUCUGUGGUGAUCAACUGGAUCCGGAGGACGGACAGAUAUGGGGAUGCCCAUUCCCUUAUUCGGGAGUCUCGUAGGAUGGCUCAGAUGAUGGGUGAUUUUCAGACAGCACAUGUGUUUAGGGAUGCGAACAGGGUAGACUGGAUCGCCUCCUUUGUAGCCCGACACUCCGGAUAUUUUUUGUGGAUGUGUGAAGCUCCUUCUUUAUUUUUACUAUUUUCUCGUGAUUUGACAGGUUGUACUCACGUGAAAUUUAUAUGAGAUGAGUAGCCGUUUCUACCAAAAACAAAAUGCUGGUGAUGUCUCUGCAAUAUUUUAUAUCUUCAAUUUUUAUCUUAUUUAAUAUUAAGUACUAAAAUUUACUUUUAUAUUUUUUAUUUGCUUGAUUUGUAUAACUUAAAAAAAAAAAAAAAGACUCUAUCCAUCCCAACCUACUCCAUCUAACUCUACCUACACUACCUUGCCCUGAGCCAGGUACGAGGACCUAAUUAUUGAGGACCUAAUUAUUGGGCAAGUAUGGGCAAUAGCCUACCGGACCAUCCCUAAAGAAAGAGUUGAAGAUAGAAUGGUAAAUAGAAAGGAAGACAUAUAUAUUGACUCCUUAUCUCUUUUACAAUCAUUUCAACUAUGAUCAUGAUUCAUUUCAUGACCUUAUUAAUCCAUGAAAUCGAAGGAUUACAUGACUCGUUGGACGAUAAUGCCUAAAAUAAAAAGCAUGCACCUUGAACGCUCAAAUGGUGAACAACCCCAUCCAUUCGGGUUCAGAGGCUCUCUUGAAACGAAAUGGUCCCAGGUAAACAUUCCCAUUAACCUUCCAACAACCUUUUAUCAGCCAUAUUAUAGGCAUGGAGUGAAAGUCUGAAAAUUUCUUAUCAGCCAAGGACUGUGCUUCCAAGUUCUGUGCUCUCUAAAACUGAGGAGCCUGACCUAGAACAGCCUAUUUACAAACAGUUGCUUGAAUAUGAGGCACAUCAAGCAAAAUCUGCUGACAAAUAUAAGCAUUAAGUUCAUUAAUAAAGGAGAGAACAAAGCAUGGUGAGCGCCCUUGUUUUCAGCAUGUUACCUCGCAGUCGAUCGAAGCUGCCAGUGGACUUCUUGGCAUUGCGUAAACAAAAAUGCCAACCGAUAACAGCACUGACACGCCAUUCUCAACUACAAGCUGAUUGAUCUGCUAGUUCUUUUGCUCCAACAAUUUUUUGAAAAAUUCACAACCGUCAUCAUCCAAAUGGUAAGCCAAAGGUUCAAGCAAUUCUUUAAUGAGGCCUUGACUGAGCUCAAACUUGAAGGCAACUAGUUUGGAACGUUGGUUCUUGGAGUCCUAAUAUCAAUUCGUCUAUACACAAACUUGGAGUUAAGGGCACCCAUUAAUAGGUUAAAAAACAAGGUAAGACAUUUGUUCCCAGGACGACACCAAUCCUGGAGCUCAAUUAGUGUACCAAGUAAACGCCGUUUUCGUAAAGGAAGAAGGGCCUUAAUAGGAGCUUCCAAUUGGCUGCAGUAUCUCUCCACACUGAGACUAAAAUCUGGCUAAAUGUUCUAGGAUGCUUGAUCAUUAUAUGCCCAUCAGCUCAUUAAGCCUGAUCAUUGUUUAGUGACCUAAUCGUAAAAUAACACAUUUCUUUGAAAACUGACAACCAGGUGAGCUAUGGCAAAAAAAUGUGAACCUCCUGAGUUCUUCCAAAGACAUGAAUCCUUGUUACAUGGGAACCGCUUGCUAAAAUUGCAUAAAGUAUACAGUAUAUUUUGAACAUUAUUGUAAAUACUUAUACUGGAAAUAUAGGCAUAUCAUUCAAAGCUCACAUAAUCUGAAGAGGCGGUGAACAUGAAUACAAGCUAAAAAUAUAGAGCAGCUGCUUCCAUUAAACCAGCUACUGAAAAAUGGAAUAAUGGUGUCACCAUGCGAUCCAGUAUCAGGUUUCUUCGACACCAAAGAAACAGCAGCAGCAAUAUAAUUCAUGGGUCACAAAGGAAACAGGAAAUUCAGAUGUUGUAAGAUAUGUCACCGGAAGGUUAGAAAAAAAAAUAAAUCACCACCAGUUUUCACCAAGAGCAGUCUACCAAAAGCCAGGGUCCAAUCUUUAUACUGAAAGUUAAUGUGAUCUUAUGCUGCAACAUCCUCUGAUAACAGAGGAAACACAAAGAGUAUGUAUAUAAAGGCAAAAAAUUAAAACUAAAAACAGCAUUACCACUGGUACACCAUAAUAGAUUGAUAACUAUGAGGUUACGCAGCAAAGACACACAAGAAACUCAGCCUACAGACCACGCCACAAAGAAAAACAAGCCGUCUUUGAAAGAGAAACAACUAUACCAGAGAUCUCGAAUUAGGUAGUUAACUCCAUGAUAGCAGUAACGAUGUCCCCAUCUGCAGCUUUGAGUGCCUUGACAGCCUUGGACCUCGAAACUCCAGCCUGUGUCAUAACCAGCUCAAUGUCCUUAGGCUCAACCCCCGUCUCAUCAACUUCUUCAUCAUCCUGAGCCAUGGCAGAUGUCUCAGGCUUCGAGAUCACAUGGCUCAGAUCAGGUGCCUUAAACUGUUCAGCUGCCUGGGUCUGCAGCUGAGAGCUCAGAUCCUCAAUCUUUGCCUCUCCAAAGAUAACAUAGGUGUCUGAAGUUGGACUUUUAAAAACAUCUGGCUUUGAGAUGACAAAUAAUAUCUGAAAUGUCAAAGAAAAAAGAAGUUAGAUUAUAAAUGGAGAUUUUGCCAACAAUUCAAGCAAUAAUGAUGAGCUGGGGAUGGGGGAACUCACAUUCUUGCUCUUCUUCACAGUGACACGACUAACACCAGGUACGGGUUUCAUACCAAGCUUCAACAUCGCCUUCCGGCUCUUCUUCUCACUUCUGCUCUGCUUUGAUCUUCCGCUAGCAUCGCCUGCUUGUCCUGCAAAAAAUUAGUCAAUAAUAAGUGAGACAAUAACAGUCUAUAAGUCAGAUUUAAGGACAAGCAGAGGGAGCACCCAACUUGGGUAUUAUGCAUAUACUUCAAUGGAAAAUGAGAUCAUAACAUCAAGUACAAAGCAACAAAAGGUCAUGUAGUUGUUAAUUAUUCGGCUAAAAGUGUAUAAGAGAUAAGGCUUGCAACGAGAGCUGCAUAUCUGUUCAUUGAACCUGCCUCCUUUUUAAUCUGCAUACAUAGUGUGGUGUCACCGCAUGCAUGCACGAGAUGGAGUGGAAGGAUGGUUAGGUGAAGGCCAGUUUAGCAUGUAAAAUAGGUUAUUUAAAACCUGCAGAUGCAUAAUUAGGAUUUAGGAACUUAAAAGCCAUUUUCCGAUCUUAAUGUAAGACAUCUUAGGCGGUAGCAGCUGGCCCAGCAUUUUUCCCUUCUCUUUCAUAUAUUUUGUUCGAAGCUGCCAUAAGGUUUUGAAUGAAAUUUGAAAUAUAUCAUCUUUCCACUUCCAUUCAAUAAUGUGCCUCACUCAGACCUAAAUAUACUUGUAACAGGGUAGCCCAGCUUUUCCAUGAUCAGAAGAAGCGAGCUCAACCAAAUUUUAGCACAAGAACUUUGCAAAUAAAUAUAAUUCAGAAAAUAACUUAACCUUUAUCUUCCUCUUUUUCUCCUGGUGGGGACUCUAAUUCUUUCCAACCUUCCCUCCUGUUCCUCUAAUUUUUCUGCUCUAUACCAGAUCCCAGUAUGUAUUUGGUUAGACUUUUGCCCAAGAUGACAUCACUUGACUCACUCAAAACCCUGCAUUGCAGCUGAUGGCAAACUUGUACACCCUAGACUUCCUAAUUCCCUUCUUUUUUAUGAUCUAUUUCACCAAAUCUGUUACAAAAAAUGUGUUUUAAACAGCUUACAAAAAGGCUCAGCAGAUGCAUGAAAAAAGCAGCACACAUAUGUUGGUAAAGUGCAACUUAAAAUGUGUUCUAUCCAGCAUUUCAAGGAGGGAAAACAACUGAGUCUUAUCAUUGACUGGCCUUCAGGUGUCAAGAUUAAAAUAUAAAACAGCAAAGAAGAUUGUUAAUUUCUUUAACCAUAAAAAUGAGAAAAAAUUUGUUCUGUCCUUCAUAGACUAUUUAAUUUCCCAAGGCCUCAUUUCCCUUCAACUAAGCAAAUGAAAAUGUUACUCACCUUUGUUGAAGCAAUGAGUGCUUCAAAACUGCAAAAUGUACAUAUGGUAAAUUUUAUAAGUUACUUGGGGUUUUUCCAAUUUCAACAUUGGGUUUUUGGGUUUCAGAUAAAUUGAUUGGACAACAUUUCAAGAGUUGGGUACAAAGGAAAAGGUUUGACUUACCUUCAGCAUCAUCCUCAUCUUUGUCAUCAUCAUCCUCAUCUUCAUCUUCAUCAUCAUCCUCGUCUUCAACCACAGGCUGGUCAGGCUACACAAAGAAGUCACACACAGGAUUAUGGGAUGUAAAGGCACAUAUGGCAUCAUGUAUCAAGUUCUGCAGAUUAACAUGGCUAUGCGCAGUUUACUAAAUGACAGACAGAGAGAGGGAAGGGGAAGAAUAUCAAAAGGUAAAUGUUGUUCAAAAGAGAGACAGAGGGCCUUUAUUUUUUUGGUGCUGAAAGACAGAGGGCCUUUAUCACUCUCACAAUCAUUAUCACGUUAGUUCUCCAAGAGGUGGAAGGAUCAUACAAAAUGUCAUGUAUAAAGAUGACAAAAUUAAAGACACUAUCAUGUUGGUUCCUUGCUUUUUGACAGAAGAAAUUACUGGUUUGGAUGUUCAGUUUUCACUUCAAAGUACACUUCCACCCACAUGACACUGAAACUUUAAUACUUUCUGCAUGCAAAUGGAUACGAAAAUAUAAAAUGCGGCAUAUUAUCAUUAGUAUAUUUAGUUCCCAAAACCUAACCUUUUGAUCAUUAAAAGGAACCACAGCAGUCAAAUGACAACAUGAUUCCACUCAUGCAACUGACUCACUUUCACUCAUGACCACAAUUAUGAUGAAAAUUUUAAGACUAAGUUCCCUUGGAAGGCCAUCUCAUACAAUUUAUAAUGAUGUUAAAGAACUUUCCUGAUGAAAUUAAUAAUAAUGAUAAUGGGUGCGCAUUUAUGUGUUAAAUUGAGAUGGAAAUUUCAACAACAGCAACAACAUAACUAAAAUUUGUUUUACAAAAGAUCAAGACGCAAACAUGUCUAAGACCUUAGUCACCGCUGGGAUGGCAUGCAUGAGUUAGAACUUUUGCUCUUCCUCCCAUUAUCCAAUGCUUCAAAACUCCAAUUCAGUACAACAUCUAAUACUACUAGUACAAAGUACAAAAGUUUUGUCAUUAAAUUUAAACCCUCUAUUGUCAUUCAUCUGAGAUACUAACACCAAGUUUGCUUCCUUCAUAUUUAUUAUGCAACCAGACUAUACUAUAGUAAUUGCCAGUACAACUCCCUGGAUUUCCUCUUUCCGUAUAAAUUAACCCCAAGAAUUGACACCUCCUUAAUUUGUGAAGGAGUAAACCAACCGCCAAAUAAGUGGAUUUUGUUAGUUCCCUAGCAUCUAACGUUAUGACCUACAGACACCUCCGCUCUCCCACAUCUACUUCUAAUUCAAAGUACUCAGCACAAGAUCAUGUGGCUCUGUUUCUCUUCCAAUACGUUUAUUGGAUAUGUAUAAACCUCCCAUUUUUCUUAAUUUAUUCAAUGAUUAAAAAAGAUCUCAACUUUCUUGAAAUAUGCACUUUAUCAUUCUAUUCAUUAAAAAGACGCAUUUAGGUGAUCCUGAGCUGAUAGAUGCACGGACAGAGAUUGUGAGCAACAUUUAAGGAGACAAAUUUCCGGAUCCAAAUUCUAGCAAAACCAGAUCAUGAUUACAGAACGAUCUCGUAUAGAGGCAACAUUACAAGCAAUGAUUAAAGAGAAUCGGCCAAACACCGGAUUUUUAGGGGGGAAAAAAGGGAGGAAACCAUCGGAUUUUUAAGGUUGUGGUGAUUAAACCCACAAAUAUUCAGCACCAAAUGCAAAAAAGAGGACAAGUAAAAGAGAGAAACUGAUACAGAUCGAGAAGGCUGAGGUGUAGAGAGGAACGGAGAGGAGGUGGAGAGGCUUACAUCCAUUGUCUGUUGCUCGAGGUGAGCGGCGAGGAGUUCCUCUUGCGUCUGAGCAGUCAUGGCGAUAGGCUCGGAGAGUGGAGAGGGCGCCGCUGAAUGAAAACCCUAGACCCAAAAAAACCCCAAACGCCAACCGAAACAGGGCGGGUCGAAGAUGGAAGCGUUUAUAUGUUAUAUACCCCCUCAGCUACUCUGCAAUUACCAAGUUGCCACUGCUCUACUUUGAUGAUUCCAUGUUACAUUCAAGGGUAGGAUCAUUUGAUGAAUGCAUGUGAUCCUAUUGAUAUAUUUUUUUUUAUCAUAUAUGUUCUUAUCUAAAGGGUCAUUGUUUCAUGCAAUGAUAAAAAGUUUGGAUUGAUAAGUGCAAUGGCACCGGUUCAAAUCUGAUCCCUGUCAAGGCCUCCGGUUAUCUGGGCAAUGGUAAGAAAUAGAGGGACUUUCCAGGCCAAACAUGUCUUUCGUGAAGCUAAUAGGACCGCGGACUGAAUGAUUUUACUGGAUACAUCCGUACUCGUCUGGUAUGAUUCACCCGUCUUAGCGAAAAAAAAAAAAAAAAAAAGGAAGAAGAAGGAAAGAAAAGAAGAAGGAAGCCCCAGAUUGUUAGGUCUAUAAUUGAAUAAUGGCCUUUUUAAUAUACUCUUAUCUAAAUGGCACCAGAAAGUAUAAAGGGUGUAUUUGAAAAAUUAGAGUUUAUUAUCCUAUUGGUUGCAUAUGCUAGAAGUUCAGUAUGAGGUAGAAAUUUUAUGAAAUGCCUACUCAUGAAAUCAUGAUUCUUGAUGCCAUCUUAGAAUCCUUUCUUGCUCUUGCUCAGAUGGCCUUGAUUUGAUUGUGCUACAUUCUUUCCUAACUGGUGGCCUAUAUAAUGGAUGGAUUAAUAUUAAUUUUGGUGGUAUCUUUUAGAGUAAUUCAUGUGGAUGGUUUCAUCAACCAUUGUGGUAUUCAAGAUUUUUGGAGCAAAUGCGGAACGUAAUUUGCAUGGGAAGAGGGACGUCAAAUAACCAAUGGGCUCCAAAAAUAAAAAGAUUUGAACCUAUGACCCUCAACUCUAAAAGUAUGUGAGCUGAACAGCUAACCCUAAUACCAUUCGAGUGCAAUCUAUACCGAGGAUGUAGAGAUAGUAAGCAUGUCGAAUUAGUGAUUAAUAUGAGUCAAGAUAAUAGACAUGCUAAUAAAAUAAACAAUUAAUAUGGAGAGGAUCAGAACUCAUAAUCUCUAGCAAACUUAACACUCU